CCAACUGAUUGGGGAUUUCACCACUCAAGUUGUUGUAAGAAAGGUCCAAACUCUCAAUUUGAUGAAGUUUUGAGAAUGAUGAAGGUAUAACUCCGAUCAACUUAUUGUGUGACAAGUUUAAAGAAUAGAUUUCACUUAAGUUCCCUAAUUCUGGUGGGAUAUGACCAGUUAAGUUGUUGCAAGAUAAAUCAAUCCCGGUCAUAUAUGCAAGGAUGUUGCCCUCGUACGAAUACAACCCACUCUUUGUUGUGAACUCUAUUACUUCUUCUAAAUUCUAUUACUUCUUCUAAGUAGCUGUCAGGGUAGUAAGGAUUUAUAUCCCUUUCCAAUUUUCUCAUCGCAAUGGAUGUUGAUUCAUCCUUUUCUGUAAAUGGAAGAUAGAACCCAGUUGCUAGACUCUCUUUCUCUUUCAUUGGAAGAGAUAAAUUUCCCAAACAAGAAGGUAUAGGACCAGAAAACAUAUUUUGAGAAAGAUCUAUGAUGCUUAAAGAAUACAACUUGCAUAACUGAAUUGGAACUUUGCCAUGAAAAUGAUUAUCUUUCAAGAGAAGAACACUCAAAGAAGAAAGUGUGUCAAUCCAUUUUGGCAUGCUACCUGUCAAAUUUUUUUCUCUAAGAUCUAAAGUCACUAGUGAAGAGCUAUUAUAAAAAGCAAGUGAUAGUGGACCUCUCAGUCUAUUCCCGUGGAGGUGGACAUGCUUUAUGUUUGGUGGAUUAAAACAUGACGGUAUAGAGCCAGAUAAAUUAUUUUGAGAAAGAUCCAAAAACUCCAACCAAUUCAAGUUGCAAAAUUCCAUUGGAAUAGAACCCUCGAAACCAUUGUUGGACAAAGCCAAUCUCAAUAAAAAUGAUGCAUUCCCUAUCCAUCUUGGGAGCUUUCCAUGCAACUGGUUGUUACUGAGAUCAAUAUCGCUUAGUGAAUUUGGAAACUCAAAAGUAGACACAUCAACAUUUGUCACCUCUCCUGAAAAUUUAUUUCCAUCCAAAUAUAAAUUCUGCAGCCCAUUUGCUUUGAGAAUCGCAGGAACUACAUUUCCACUGAAGUUGUUAUUUGAUAGUCUCAAAAUGGUCAGUGAGCCUUUCGUGAUCAACUCUUCUGGUACUUUUCCAUACAAUUGAUUGUUUGAUAGAUCUAAAAUUGAUAAAUCCUUCAUGCCACUUAAACAAAGUGGGAUAUUACCUUCAAAAGCAUUCUUGGAUAAGAAUAACCGACUCAAAUGUGGAAAAGUUGAACAUAUACUGGUCGGAAUUUGACCUUGUAUUUUGUUUUCAGAGAUGUCAAUUGAAGAUACAUUAGAAAUAAGAGCUGACGAAAAUGAGAGAGGACCUGUAAAAGAAUUGCCCUUCAAGAUGAGAUCUUCUAACUUUGUGUUGUUUUCUAACAACCAAGUUGGGACCGUUCCACUGAAAUUGUUAUGAGAAAGAUCCACAUAUCUCAAGUCAUAUUGGUAGUAAAGGAAGGUAGGAAGCUUACGACUGAGCUGUUGAGAUGUUAUGCACUUUGACAAACUGAUGACUUCCAAUUGGAACUUUGGGAUUGAGGUAUAAAAGGAAGGUUCCGUUACCAUCUUGUUUUCAUUACUCAAGAGGGCUUUGAUAUUUGAAAGGUUUGCAAAUGGUGCGAAUGACAACGGAAUUUGAAAAUGGUUUCUUGAAAUAUCUAACACACGAAGAGCUGUCAAGUUACUAAAACAAUGAGGAAGCAUCCCCUCCAGUGCAUUCCCACUCACAUCCAAUACUUCAAGAUUCCUUAGAUCACACCAUCCUGAAAAAUUGAAAAAAUUGGUGGAAGAAAUUCUAAUUAAAUUUGGUCUUAUUUAAGAGAAUAUGAGAUAUUACACAAAGCUCAUACAAAAUUCAAUUUGAGCCAUAAAUUUAUUUACCUUGAUUAGGUAGGGGACCAAUAAGUCAACAAUCAUAUAAAGAUAAUGUUUUAAGAGAAACAAGUACUCCAAUGCUUUGCAAAAUAUUGGUGUUGAGAGUAGAAUAGUCAAGAUAUAUUUCCUCCACAUUUCUCGACACAUUUGAUUCUAAGCAAUGUCUAGAGAUAUUAGAUAACGAUAUUGUAAAUAGAAAAUUAUAAUUGAUCAUGAGAAAGAAGUUCAUAUUGACGAGAAAUGCCGAGGACAGCAAUCGCCAUCCCAUGUCAAAAAAAUCAUUUGAGAUAAAUAAUGUUUGAUUUUCUCAGUCUUUUAUUUUUUGUGAAUGAAAAGAAAUAUAAUUUACUUGAAGUUUUUUUAAUUAUUCGAAAAUGCCAUUUAUUUAUUUUAGGCCAAAAAAUUCCAUUUAUUUAACUGUAAUAUAUAUUUUUAUGUUUUAUAUUAUUAAAACCAUAUGAAAUUAAAAUGAUAGUUAUAUGACAUAUUUUUCCAUAAAUAUGAGUAUUUUUUAUUUAUAAUAUUAUUUUUUUAUUUUUAUAAUUAUUUUUUAUCUCAUAAAAAUUUAAUAAAUUAUUUUGAAAUUAUAUUUAUACAAACAAAAUAAUUAUGAACUCUAAUAUUUUAAAAUUAUGCAAAAUUUAAAAUAUUUUACUUUCAAACCGAAGACCAUAGGAUUUAUAAAAUGUUUCACCGAACCCAUAAGCUGAAUUUUUCCAUGUAUGAUAUAAAACAUAAAGACAAGGAUGAGCAACACAAAGACAGAAAAUUAUUAUUUGGUAGUUUGUUGAUUUACUUUAAGGAUUUAGCAGUUUCAAUCAUGUUCCUGUUAUGCUUUGAUUUUAUUUAGGUUCAUCCAUGUAAAACAAAGAAACAAAAACAUUAAUUAGUUGAAAAAUAAUUAAUUGUGUUAUAACAUAAUCCAAACCUUGUAUUAACAAAUAUUCUGUUUUUUAACCUUUUUCAACGAUGAAGUGGGGAGCACCGAUUCAGGGGCCAAGCAACAACUUUGUAUUGGAGGAUCGAUAUAAAAUUAUUUUUUUUGGAGGGACUAAAGUUAAAAUUAUUUGUGUUAAAAUUGUUGAAAUUGAAUUUUUAAUGUUUAAAGUGACUCAAAAUGCAAUUUUUAUGCAUAUAAUUAAAAAGCUACAGAGGAUUAUAUUGAAUAAUUAAAUUUUAAAAGGACUAAAAAGGGUAUUAUACCCUUGAUUAAAAUAUGUCAUAGGUCCUUGUACUUUUCAAAAAUUUGUAAUUUAGUCGAUAUACUUUUAUUUCUAAGGAUUUAGGCCCUCUACAUUUUCAAAUUUUAGAAUUUAAGUUCAAUUGUUAACAUUAGUUUUUUUUCCAAUGUUUUGAAAUAAAGAAAAUAUUCAAUUGGUAGCAAUGUAACUAAAAAAAUAGCAUUAUAAUGAACCUAAAUUUAACAAAAUAAUCUUAAUAGUGUCAACAAUUAAACUUAAAUUUUAAAAUCUAAAAAGUAGAGGGAUUAAAUUCGUAAAAAUAAAAAUAUAGAGACUAAUUUACAAAGAGUAUAAGGAUUUAUGUUAUAUUUUAACCUAUACCCGUUAGCCUAGGGGGGCCAAGACCUCUGUCUACCCCUUUGGCUUUUCCUCUACACCAAUUGAACAUUAGUUUAAUUGACAUUGUUGAUAUUGCAACAACUCUUUUUCUUUAUUUUCUUCAUCUUAUGAAAAAUGUUAAUUUUUAGUUUUGGACAUUUUUAAUAUGCUUAAAUUUGAGAUUUAAUUAUUAUCCUUUAUUUCUAAUUUAAAUUAAGCUUUAUAUUUUUAUAAUUUUACUAGUUAGUUCAAAUAGUUAAUUCAUUAACUUUUCAAUUAAAAUAUUAUGUAGUUAUAUAUUAUUUAAAAGUGGAUUUUUAAAUAGAUUAAAUUCUUAAAAAUAAAAGUUGAAGGAAAAAAAAUAAAAUUUAAACAAAAACGAAAGUUUAGUCAAAUGAUACCUUUAUGGAUCAUAAAAUCUAUCAAUUCAUUUGCCCUCAUAUUCAAAUGCAUCCAAAUCUGGAAAAAAAAGGGUAACAUAUAAACCUCAUUAUAUUAUCUUAAAACAUUAUUAAUGUUUUUGUUAAUUGAGUCAAGAUUUUGGGAAAAGAAAAUGUUUUUACCUUUUGCAUCUAUUGGUCCUUUCAAUUGAUUGCUUAUGGUCAAAGUUUUCAAAUUCAAAAGCUUGUUAAGAGAUGCAAAGACACUAUUAUUGAAGAGAUUGGAAUUUAAAUUAAGCUCUUUUAAGUGCGUCAAUUCCGAUUUUCUACCACCAUCUGCAAAAGAUUUACAUAAGUUCAUCACUGAAAAAAAUUAGCAUAAAAUUUAAUUAUAUAUAAAAACUUAGAUAACUCAUCAAAUAUAAAUACAUACCUUUGGAGGAUUGAAGGCUUUCAAUUUGAUUCUCGCUUAGAUCAAGUUUCUUCAAGUUUAUCAAAUUACUCAAUCCUAUAUAUUUUCACGUCCAAUUCAAAUAAUUAUGUUAAUAAUUUAAUUUUUACCGAAUAUUUGAAUGAGUUUCAUAAAAUAAAAACAAAAAAUUGGUUUGUUAGGCAAUUUUUUUAGGUGUUGUAGAAAUUUUAAGUUCCUCCAAGUUUAUUAUGCUUAAUUGUUUUUCAUCUAUAGUAGGAAGAAGAAUAGUUUCUAAUUAAUAUUAUAGGCUUUGAAUAUUUUAUAAGUUCAUCCCUUUGAAAAUUUAAUUUAUUCAAUAUAUAAAAAUCAUACUUGUACCUUUGUUUGAGAUGCUUUCAAUUCUGUUCCCACUUAAAUCCAAGUAGUUCAAGUCUGUCAAAUUAUUCAAUUCUGAAAUUCAAUCCUAAAUAUUGAUUAGUUAUAUAUAUUCAUGAUAUGAUAAAAUCAAAUAACAUAUUGCAAGUUUGCAACAACUUUUCCUUCAACAUAAAUUGAUUUUAAAGUACAAAAGAAACAAGUAAAAUCAAUCUACCUUGAAUAUGAAGCAGCCUUCCUUCCAACUGAUUACUACUCAAUCUUAAAGUCUUCAAGGAUGAAAGAUUUCUCAUAUCGAAUAGAAUGCUAUUCUUCCAAGAAUUCCCACUUAAAUUAAGAGUUUCCAAUUUAGUGAGUCUUGAAAGCCACUGAAAACCUGAUUUAUAUACUAUAUAAUUAGUUACUACUAAACAUAAUAAAUAAUAAUACUCUAAUUUUACAAUAAAAAUUUACUAAAAUCUGUCAUUGCCUGUUGGAAUAAUAGUCUAUCAGAAAAGUCAUGCACAAAUACUUAUACCUUGGUUUGAGAUGCUUUCAAUGUUGUUGUAACUUAAAUCCAAGUACUUCAAGUUUGUCAAAUUAUUCCAUUCUGAUGAAAUUCAAUCCCAAUGUUGAUCAGUUAUGUUUUCAUGAUAAGAUAAAAGCAAAUGAAAUAUUGCUAUAGCUUUUUCUUAAACCAAAUUGAUUUUAAAGUAAAAGGAAGCAUGUAAAAUAAGUCUACCUUGAAUAUGAAAUAAUAUAUAAAUACUAUAUUUAUACCUUUGUUUGAGAUGCUUUCAAUUUUGUUCCCACUUAAAUCCAAGGACUUCAAGUUUGUCAAAUUAUUCAAUUCUAAAAUUCAAUCCCAAAUGUUGAUCAGUUAUAUUUUCAGGACAAGAUAAAAGCAAAUGACAUAUUGCAAUAACUUUUCCUUAAACCAAAUUGAUUUUAAAGUAAAAAAGAAACAGGUAAAACCAAUCUACCUUGAGUAUGAAUCAACUUUCCUUCCAAAAGAUUGUAUCUCAAACUUAAAGUCUUCAAGGAUGAAAGAUUUCUCAUAUAGACCAUAUUGCUAUUCUUCAAAGAAUUCCCACUUAAAUAAAGAGUUUCCAAUUUAGUGAGCCUUGAAAGCCACUGAAAACCUGAUUUAUAUACCAUAUAAUAAGUUACUGCAAAACAUAAAUAAAUAAUAAUACUCCAUUUUUUAGUUAAUUUGAGUAAGUUCUUGUUAGUCUUUUUUUCAUCUCAACCAUAUGAAAAAUUAUUGAAGCAAAAACUAAGUUACAGGGGAUAAAAGAAUGGAAAAUCACUGUCAAACGUCACAAUACAAAUAAAAACUAACAAUAGACCAAACUUAAUUUACCUCUUGGAUGACUUGAUCCUUCGAACCGGUUGUGUGAUAAAUCUAAAUAUCGGAGAGACGAAAGCUCACUCAAAGAUAAUAGAAUGCUAUCAUUCAAGUGAUUGUAACUUAAGUAAAGGAUCUCUAAAUUACUUAAUGUGGGUGAUAGCUUUCCAAAACCUGUAGGAGUGUUCUUUUAAUUAUAUACAAGUAAUUAAUGACUUUUCUUCAGUAAAAUAAAAUAAAUUAUAAGUAAUUGCAAACUAACAAUGAAUAGAGAAAUAGAAUAAUAAAAUAUGUAAUUAAGGGAAAAUUAAAGGCACGACCUUCAUUUUCUAGGUUACCACCUAUGGCAUUCUCUGACAAAUAAAGACUCUUCAAUUUCUCAAAAGGAAGAAACAUAGAGGCAUUGAGAUACCAAUAAUCCAUGUUGUAUUCCCAUUUUGUAGAAUUAAGGGAGAGUUGUAUGACUCUCCUAGUGAUGGAGUUGCACUUAACUCUUUCCCAUUUACAGCAAUCUGAACCCUUCAGAUCAACCCAACUUUUCAAUGGGUUACCAUAAUUGAAGAAAGGUUUGAGAUGCAAGAGAGCGAUUCUCUCAUGCUCCAAACAAGCAUCAGUAGUACACCACCUACAUCCUUCUAACACCAACAACAGUACUGCCAUCCUAAUAAACCAUAACCAUUUCCACUCCAUCAUCAUCAUCUUUCUGUUUUCCCUUCUCUCUCAGCUAUAUGUUACUUUUUUAACUUCUAUAUGUAUAUAAUCUGCAGAAGCCUAAGCAGGACCUAUGCAUCCCACUAAUUCACUGUAGUAUUAAAAUAACAUAUAAUUAAUUAGUUCCUCAAAAAUUGAAUGAAUCUAGACUUGUGCUGCUCUAACUUAUACGUUAGGAAAUAAAUGUUGACACAAUUUUUUGUUUUAUUUAGAAGUUGUAGUUAACUAUAUUUGCUUGGAAUGAAACUGAAUUCAAAUCAAUCAAAUUAAUUAUAAUAAAAAAUAAAAUAUCAAAAAACUGUUCAAAAUAUGAGUUAUGUAGAAGCCCUGUUCGACAUAUUUUAACUUUUAUUCUUUAUAUAAAAAUGAGAGUUACAAUAAAUAGUAAAAAGAAAAUCUAAUCAAAUGCACUUUUCCAUAACAAAAUUAAUUGCAUUCCUUGUGGAAAAUGAACUCUUGACUUUGCCGACCAUCCUCGACUGAAAUAGGCUGCUAAUUUUAAUUUAGACUGUAGAAAAAAUUUUAACCCAAUUAAUGUCAUUUGAAAUUAAAAUUACUUUAUAAACCUUUUGUUAGCCCUUAAAUUAAUAAACCUUUGUAAAAAUAGUUAUUGUAGCUAAUUGAGUUUUAACUCAAUCGGUAUUGGUAUUGUUGUCAGUAAAAGAAGACGUAAGUUUAAGUGUGCAGAAACGUGUGUUUUCUCCUAUUUAAGGAUUAGGGUGGAUUAUGAAUAAUUCUUUGAAUUGUAUUAACUUAGAAGCUUUGAGAUACUCACAAUUGAAUUAAACAUUCAAUAUAUAUAUUUAUCUUAUUUUUUUUUCUAUUUCCGAUAAAUAAGAAAAGAUCAUUCUUUACGCCACCAUACGAUUUUAGUAUCACAAUCAAAUGAGACUUUUAAAAGUCUUAACACUAUACAAGUAGUUAGUCGACAAAACUUGCACUAAUUUACUCUUUACGCCGAAAUUAUUUACAAAGUGCAAACAACAUUACUUUCACACUAAUUUUUUCCUUCUAUUUAUGUGGGAUAAAUAUCAAAAUUAUAUAUGAAUUUUAAUUUAAUGUGUAAUAUUAUAUAUAAAUUUUGAUUUUGUGUAAUUUUAAAAUGAAAUUUUGAUUUGAUUUAAUUUUCACAAAUCAUUAACAACAUCAUCGAAUUAGUACUAUAUUACAUUGAUAUAUUGCAUGCACAAACAGGUAUACUAAACCAAUAUGAAAAUAAAUAUAUGUAUUCAUUUAUUUAAAUGUGUACAAUUGAAUCAAAAUAAAAGUUUCAUGUAUACAUAUGGAUCACAAUUCAAGUUUCAUACAUAUAAUUGUACCAAAUCAAAGUUCAUAUAUCAAAUUGCACAUUAAGCCAAAAUUUAUGUAUAAAUUUAAUAUUUAUCCCAUUUAUGGGAGAUUAGCUUUCCAAUGGUAUUGUUUUAUUUACAUUAAUCCAAAUAAUUGGAAAUGAUGAAUUAGUUUAACGAAGAUUGUAAUUCUAUUAAUGUUUCUUCUCGAAUUUUUGGUUGCUCUUAUUAGCAUGUUUUAUUAAUUGAUAGAUUUAAAUUCUUGGAAUAUAUUCUAAUUAAUUAGAUAUUUCCUUCCUUCCAAAAGCCUUUCAAAAUAGGUUUAGUUCGACCAAGAUACUCUUGUAGAAAAUUUUAGUUUUGUGGGAAAAAGAAAACUAGAUUUAUUUUUUACUCUAAUUGGUUUUAUAUGCAAGGUAUAUAAACUUUUGUGUCGCUGCAAUUUUUUUCCAACAUAUGUAUGUGAUUUGUGGGGUUUCAAUUUUGAAUUUUUUUUUACAAUUUAAUUAAAUUGUGAAAGUAUUUGAAAGUAUUUGAGUUGAUACAAUGUUUAGAACUACCCCAACACCCACCUAACCCUUAAAUAGGAGGAUAAACACGCUUCAGCACACUCGAACUCACAUCCUCCUACACCGAUGAUAAUACUAAUGCCAACAGAGUUAAGACUCAACCAGCCUUGAAUUUUGAAUUUUACUUCUUACACAUUUUGAAUUUUGAAAUUUUAGUUUUGACCCAAACAGUAGCAGUUAAAUCAAUUUGAUUAAAUUUAAUUACUAGUCCUAUAUUAUGCGUACGAUUAUUGAUUAGUCUAUACUCUCAAAUUGGGCAAUUCUAAGUACCUAUACUUUCCGAAUUUUGAAAUUUCAGUCUUGAUGCAAAUGACAAUUAUUAAUCCAUUAAUUUGAUUUUUAGUGAGUAAUAUGUGAAAAUAACAAACUGGUAUAACAUUACACAUAUGAUAAUAUGUUUAUUCCACCACAUUUGAAAAUAGCCGAAUUUAACAAAUAUUGUUAGUGAGGAUUGGAAAUUAGAGUCUAGCCCCCUACAAUAAUUUAGGUUAUGGAAAUAAUCUUGCAAAUAAUGCUUGAGACAUCAUUAUACAUCAAUUUAUAGUUUUAAUUCUUAUACUUACUCAAUUGGAAUAAAGAUUUAGUUUUUUAUUUUCUUUUAAUACAUUGUCUAGAAUCUUUAUUCCAAUUGAGUAAGUAUAAGAAUUAAAACUAUAAAUUGAUGUAUAAUGAUGUCUCAAGCAUUAAAAAUAACUAACUUCAUUAAAAAAUUCAUUAGUUGGCUCUCUAAGACUUAAAAAUUAAAAUUAUGUGGUUAUUAAAAAAGAAUUAUUUUUAUUAAAUUAUUAUUUAAAAUAAAUUUAUCUCAUCAUAAUGAUAUGAAUUUUUUUUCUUUAAAAAAUCCACAUUAACCGACUAAUAGAAUUGUAUAAAGCUGCCACCAAUCUCUUGGCAUGAUGGCAAAAGAUUCAGAGGCAAGCCAGAAAGUUUUUUGAGAGGAGUGAAUAAAGUUAUAUCUUUUUAUUAUAGUAAAAAUGAAAUUUUAUUAUUUUAAUAAUUUAUAUUUUUAUAAUUUUUAAAAGAUUAAAUAAAAUUUUUUUUUAUUUUUGAGGGGAUAAAGUAUAAGUUUAUCAUAUACUAAUUUAAAAAUUUUAAAAUUAUAAAAAGACUAAAGAUGAAAUUUUUCAUUUUAGGGAGAUGGGGCCCUGCCAGGUCCCUUGACUUCGCCUUGAUAAAAGUAUUAUGUUGCAAGUAUAAAGUUUGAGUUUAAUCUCGAACAAUCUCAUUUCUUAUCCCUAAUUAUAAAAUAAUAAAAUAAAUAGAGCAAUUGAUGUGAGGAGGCAAGUGUAAUAGGUCAAUUUUGACCUGGGCCAGAUUUCAAAACAAAACCCAAAUUAAAUAAUAAAAGAGUCCAAAAUAAUUAAAACAAUCCAUCCAUUUUACAAACAAACCCAAAUUAGCAGCCCAAAUACAAAUUAAAACUCAAUAACUCAAAACUAACCCUAGCCCAAUUAGCUCAACACUUAAACACAACAAAAAAACCCCUAGCCCCCUAAGCCUCCAACGCCGCAUGACCACCUGUGCCGCACGCCGCCGCCGCUCAAGGCUUGCCUAUCACCGACCAUCCACGCGUCUAACACUUGCAAAACCAAGGCAACAUGCAACAACAAAGGCCAAAUAGAGGAAACAACAAGGAAACAGACAAAAAAGGAAGAAACAAACAGUUUUGAUUUGGCUACAAAAGCCCGAAUCUCACCCUUGUAAUUUUUUCAAGAACAUUAGAAAAUAAAAAAACAAAAACAACACUUUCAAGGUGAAUUUCUACUUUUAUUUCUGUUUUAAAUACCUAUUUGAUUCUAUAUUCAUAUUUUUAUUUGAUUUUAUAUAUAUAAUAAAAUAAUAAAAUAAAAAAAGGAAGAAAGGGCUCACCGGAGACGCCCCGUGACCGCGCCGUCGGAGGGCUCUUCUCCAUUGUUGCCAUCGAAUCCGAGAGAGGGUCGGGAGUACUCCUCUUUUGUUUUUUUUGGGUCGAGAGGGCUGGGCUUCCAAGGGAGCUGUGAAACGGGGGCUAAAAACGACCUUUUGCGCAACGCCGGCCACCGGCCACAGGCCACAGCGGCGCUGCGGCGGCAACCCUGGCCUGCCAAGGGGUGGGCUGAGAGAGAGACCAAGAGAGACUGAGAGAGUUCUCUAUUUUUUUAGAAAAAUAAAAGUUGAACUGUUUUUUUCUUUUUCUUUUUGCUAUUUAUAUAGGGUAUAAAACUGCGUCGUUUUGGACUUAAGCAUCAGUGGCCAAAAUGACGCUGUUUUGCAUCAGACCCGAAAGCCAACCCGAAUGCAGUCAGGAUCCUAGCGCAUUUUAGCUUUGAGGAGCUAUUUGCAUAUUCAACCCUUCCGCUUUUGCAAUAUAGUGCAAUUUGGUCCUCGUUGUUUUUAUAUUUUGGCCGCAUAAUUUUCUGAUUGUUUUACUUUGGUUCGAGCUAAAACGCUACGCAUGGGGGCUGGGAAUAUUUGCCAGUCGGUCCCUCAUUCCUUAAGCACGCUCUAUUUCAGUCCCUAGGCUUUUUUUAUUUAUUUGCAAUUUGAACCCCAAAUUUUGGGUCGAUUUCAGUAUCAUCCUUAGUCCAUUUAAUUUAUUUGUUCAUUAUUAUUUUUUAUUUAAAAAGCUCUUUUAUUAUUAUUUGUUUUAAGUUUUUUAUUUAUCAUUUACUUUAAACUGUUUUACAUACUAUUUAUUUAAAAUUUUUUUAUAUUAUUCAUUUUAAACCAUUAUAUGUACAUUAUCUUUUAAAUUCUUAUAUACAUAUAUAUAUGUCGAAACCGUUUUUUUGAAAACAAAAAUUUUUAGUUUCGACUUAAAAAUAAAAACUGGAGUCGCCACCGAUCCUUGAUUGAGGUGUGACCGGCUCACCUUAAAAACAAUUUUGGUCUACGAGAUUUGAGAAAAUGAGUCCGGGAGUCAGUUACGCACGAGGAAGGAUUAGCACCCUCGUAACACCCAAAAUCGGUACCAAAUUGAUUCUUUAAUGCCUUGGUGUCGAAAAUUUGAAAAGAUUUUAAAAGGAAACUUUUUAUUUCAUGAAUGAAUCAAAAUAAUAAGACAUUCUUAUUUCAAAGAAAUAAAACACCACACCCAGUGAGUUAGGGCACAAUAUUUUUAAAUCUUCAAAAUACCCGAAUAUUACCUUUUGCUUUUGAAAAUUCUUAUUUCGAGAAGUCAAAAUAUCAGGACCAGUAAGUUAGGACCCAACAUUUUUGAACUCCCAAGAAUAAGCUUUUAUUUAAAAUUUACGAAUUUAUUGCAAAACAAAUACUUGGCUUUCUAAAUUCAUCGAAAAAUAAUCACGAUCCAGUCAGUUAGGACACGAUCUUUCUCGAGAAUCAUGAAUGCCAAAUAUUUUGGAAAUUUGUAAAAUAUGAUGAUUUUAAUGCCUUGACGAAGCCAAUAUAUAUUUUCUUUAAAAGCAUGAUAAAAUGUUAAUGCAUAACAUGAAACCAAUACUUUAAUUUAAAUCGUAUGUAUAUAUGUAUUUGCAAAUCGCGAAAAUAAAAUAAAUAUAAAUGUAUGGAUAUGUCAUGAAAAUAUGUGUGCAUUUAAAUAUAUGUAUAUAUGUACAAUAUGUAUAAAACCAUGAAAUAUAUAAAAUAAUAAAGAAAAAUGUGUACGUAUAUGUAACAGAGAAUGCAUGUAUGCUUUAAAUUAUAAGAUAUAGGAAAUAAAUAUGUUACAACAAUGUAUAUCUAUAUAAAAUAUAAAUGUAUAUAAAAGUAAGUAAAAGUUAUGCAAGUAGAAUAAUAAAAAAUAUAUAUAUGUAAGGUGCAUGGGUUUAUAAAAAUUAUUUUUAAGAAAAAAUGUAUGCAUAUAUUAUUGUAGAGAAUAAGCAUAUGUAUAUAUAUAGUAAUGGUAAUAAUAAUAAUGAUAAUAAUAAUAAAAAUGAUAAUAGUAAUAAUAAUAAUAAUAAUAAUAAUAAUAAUAAUAUAUGACAUAAUUAAUAAUAUAAAAAACAACAAAUUAAGGAUUAAAUUGGAAAUAAGCGAAGUUUUGAAACUAAAUUUAAAGAUGGGAAUUAAAUAAGGACCAAAUUAAGAUGCGCGCAACAGUAGGAGGAUCGAAAAGAUAAUUUGCCCAAACCUCCCAAAUGCUGCGCAGCAACAUGGACCAAAUUGAAACAGUAUUAAAACAUAUGGCCUAAUUUAAAAAAAUAAAAAGACGGAUUUAAACACCCCUCAUAAAACAGAGGACCAAAUGUGAAAUUGUCCCCUUUCACAGAAAUGCGCGGAUCCUUCCCCGGGUCGGGUCACCGCACGGGUCGUAGGGCUGAAACGGCGCCGUUUUUGUGCUUACCCUUCGGCCCAAAACAGUGCCGUUUUCGGUAAGCUAUAAAUACAAUGUUUUUUUUUAAAAAACUCAUUGUUCUUUCUAUUUCAAAAAAAAAACAAAAAAAAAAUUUCCUUUUCUCUCAAGCAGGCCCAAAAUCCGGCCAAACUCCGGCGAGUGGCCACUGCGCCGUUCACGGCGGCGGGGAGUAAAAAAUCUCGCCUUUUUUAAACUGUUUUUAGAUCCCGUUCAAUAGUCAAACUGCUUUGGCUCAAAAGGAUGACCCUUGGCCCCUUCUCCUCUCGGAUCCGACGUUCUUGAAGGAGGAGAGCCCUCCGACGGUGAACCCGCAAGGCAAAUCAGGUAAGCCCGUUCCCCUUUUACUUCUUAUUUAUUAUGCGUAAAAAAAACAAACAGAAAGAGCAAACAAGGAAAAAAAAAACCGAAUCUAAGGGAAAAAAAAACCUCCGUUUUGUAUUUUAUUUUUUCAAAUCUUUUUUCUUCGUAUUUUCCUCUCUAUUUUCGUAUGUCUUUACACUCAAGACCCCCCUUUUCAGAUCUCCCCCCACGGCUUUUAAAUAGUCGAAAAUAACAACAAAAUAAGCAACAAAAUCAUAUCUCCCUUCAAUAUUGGUUGCGAUUUUUGCUACUACUCUGCUAUUGCUGCGCCAUAUGCUUCUUUUUCGCAGGUGUGGUGGCUGUUGAGUGCGUGGGAGCGACAAGCGCGAUGUGCGGCGCUUGCGGAGGGGUGGUGCGCAGGGUGAUGCGGCGCUGAAGCAGAAAGGGCUAGGGUUUCUGGACUGGGCUAGGGUUAAUGUAAUUGGGCUAAAUUUUUGGGUUUAGUCUGUAGAUGGGUAAUUGGGUCUGCUAUGUUUUUAUUUUAUAUGGGCCCGGGCAGAAAAAUUGGGUAUUACAAUAUAUAUUAAAAAAAACUGUUGUAUGUUUCUUAUUUAUUUAUUUUAAACUGUUAUUAUUAUUCAUUUUAAGUUUUUAUAUACUGUUUAUUUGAAGCCUUUUAUUAUUUAUUUUUGAAUUGUUCUUAUAAAUUAUUUAAUUUAAAUUAUUAUUCUUUGAAUUUUUUUUUUUGCAUAUUAUUUUGUUUUGUUUUCUUUGAUUGUUAAUAUUAGUAUAAAAAAUGAUAUACAUUGUGUGACUAUUACCAUCAUGUGUACUAUAAUUAGUUUCUUCGUGUUUUCAUAUUAUUAUCACUCAUUAACAUAUAUAACAUUUUUUCAUAAAUUGUUAUUUUAUGUUCUAUGUUAUCAUUCCAUUUCACUUCAUCACUUUGAAAUUAAGUUGCCUUCAAUUUGUGUUUACCCAUAAUAAACCGUUCUAUUUUGUCACAAAUAAAACAAAUGCACCUCGUUCAAGCAUUGUACUCGCAAUUAUUCAAAAAAGAGAAAAAUUUUAAAAUAAGGCAAUAUUUCGCAUUUUGGAGAUUCGAGAAAUUGUACCCUAACUUACGAGGUUUCAAUUUUCUCAUUGAACCUAAAUAGCAAAAUAUCUUUCUAAUUUUCAAAAUUUACGAAUUCCAAUAAAGUUAAAGGCUAGCUUAUUCUCGAGGGUUUCAAGUGUCGUGUCCUAACUUACGGGAUGUGACAUUUAUUAUCUUGAGACGAGAGGAUCUUUGGCAUUUGUUUAGAUUUAUUCAAGCAAAUUCUUUUAAAUUGAAAUAGCGUUAACAAAAGGGGGAUUGUGUUUUAAAUUCUUUCGAAGUUUUUCAAUUUUUAAUAUUUAGACAUUAAUUAAUCAAUUGGGUACCAAUUUUGGGCGUGACGAGGAUGCUAAUCUUUCCUCGCAUGUAACUGAUUCCCGAAUCCGUUUUCUCAAAUUUCGCAGACCAAAAUCACUGUUUUGAUAAAUUAAAAUAUUUUAUUAAAACAACUAAAUUAUGAGAUGACCUAAUCACACCUCGUAAAAAAAAUAUUGGUGGCGACUCCCGUUUUAAUUUCCGUUUUCAAACCAACACCGACCCUUUUAAAAAAAAUGGUUUCAAUAUUAAGUUAUAAGUGAAUGAAUUAAAAAUAUGUGAAAAGUGUAAAUAAAGACUCUUCAAUCUCAUUUCCUCUAAUGCUCUUUUUUUUUUUAAUCAGAGAAGUUGUAAUUGACUGGAAUGAAAUUAAUAAUCGCCUUAUUAUUUCACUUUUUUUCUUCAUAUGUUUGGCGUCAGUACAGGUUGGACUGAUUUUAAAGUUGAAGUAAAACGAUAUCAAACAAAAACCAUUCUGGUUUUUAAAAUUAUGAGUCCAAAUCAAUCCAAUUAGUUUAACUAGAUUUUAAUGUCUUAUGUGUUAUGAUGAUGAAGCAAGUUGAUCAAGGGACUUGCUUCAUCUUUCAAAAUAUGAGUUGCUUAAGAGCCCUGUUUGACGCUUUUUUUUUUCUUAAAUUACAAACGAAAAGGUAUUUUUUAAAAAAAAAUUAACUUAAUGAAUUUUUUAUAGAUAUAAAUUUCCUGCAAAGUUAUUCUUUUUGAAAAAAUAUUUUUUUAAUUUUUUAUAUACCUUUUAAAUAGUUAAUGAAAAUAAGAGUUUUCAUUUCGAAAUGCAAAAGCCAAAAACAGUUUUUGACUACAAAAGCUGUGUGUUCUUCAUCACUUCUGCAGUGGAAAAACACUUCUGCAGUGUAAAAACACUUUUAACCCAAAACGGGUUUUCACCUAAGUAGAGAAUCCACCCUAAAAUUGUAAAUAGAAAAAGGAAGGACCAAACAUUGUUUCUACCCUGUUUUUGUCUCCUCUUUGAAAAUACUUUCCAAAAAGUUUUAUCAUUUUCUUUUUAUUAAGUUUUCUGUUGGAUCUUAUAGUCAAAUUCCUUUACAUCAUGUACGUUAAUUUGCUUCGCUCUGAUAAAUGUUAGAUAUAGGGUUAUCAGCUAAUUAGGAAAGACUGAUGAUAGUCACCCCUUACAUCCAAAAGCAAAGCUUUUUUCACAUGUGUAUGUAAGGUUGCUAAGCAAAUCUGAUGAGCCUUCACUGAUGUUUUAAGGUUUAAGUUGAUGUUCCUUUUCGGCAAAGAACAUUAUCGAGAUCACAGAAUUUUGAUCGCCUUUUGCUUGUUAUGUUAUUCGUUCUUAAACGAUUGCAUAAUCUUUACUGUGAUUGCAGGAUAUAGAGGAACUUUUGAAUUUCAUCGGUGUAACGAGUUUAGGACCUUGGCAUGUUCUUGCAAAUUUGAAGGAGCUUCUAAGGUCUGUCCAGUCUUCAGAAUAUAUAGAUACCUGAAUUAAUUUUGAUUUUGUAGGAUCAACUAUAAUUAGCUACUUAUUACAGUAUGAAUAGACAACCUGACCUUCUUCACACACGACACAUGUGCGGAUUUUUUUACCAAUCCCAUUUCAUUAAAGAAAAAAAAGAGCUUUAAAAAAGGAUCACACUUUUUUGUUGUUUACAGAAUCAUAAUGUUAAUUAGAGUGGAAUAUUUCAGAUUUCUGAUAAUGAGUAUAUUAUUGAGUAUUGCAGUAAAAAAAUGGGUGUGCAACUUAUUUGAACUUUGAAUGUAUGUUUUGUUGGUGAGAAUAUAAAGUUGAUAAAGAUUUGGUAAAUAGAAUAAAAUACUAUUUUUUAUUAGAAAAAAUAUUUGGUACACUGCCAAUCGAGUUAUAAUUAUCAUGACACAAUAUUAAGGGUAAUUAAAACAUGUCAUAUUACAAAUAAUAAAAUUAUAAUGACUCAAAUCUGCAAACAUGUCAAAAUUUACGUACAAUGAAUUAUUAACAUGUAAAUGUAUAAUAUGGUAUGCAAAAAUAAGAUCAUUGCUUGUUUUUUAAAUUGAAUUGUUAUAACAUAUUGUACAAAAUACAUUGUGAAUUAAGGCAUAAUAUGAACAUGAUAUCAAAAUAUUAAAUUUUUUUAAAAUUCGAUGAUAUGAAUAAUUAUGUAAAAUAUAACAUGAUACAAAAUAACUUGAAAGGAAAAGAGGAAUAAAGAAUUGCAUUGUUUUUGAGGUUUUAAAAUAUUUCAGUUUUAGAUUCAUUUUUCUAGUAUGUUUGGUUUAAUUUUACAUUAGAUUUCCUUUACAGUAUGCACUAGUGAACGCUUAGUAUUCAAUUUAAUUUAAUUCAAAGAGAUAUUGCAUAUACAUAAUAAUGGAUUAUGAUUUUACAUUAAAUUUCAUAGAAGAAAAAAGAAAUAGAUGGUUGAAAAUGAUAAAAUCAUAAGAUAAAAGAGCUUUUAUUUAAAAUUCAAAAAUCAACAAAAUAUUCAUUAUCGCUCAACUUAGCAUAAUUAAACAUUUAGGUGUGAAAAUCAAAUUACAAUUUGAGUAGCUAAACACAUUGCUUGAAAAUGUGAUAAGUAAGAAAAUUGCCCACAUUUGAGUAGCGACAGGUGGUGAUGCAUUUCCCAAUGAGAGAAAACCAAACUCUUCGCCAGUAUGGAUUUAUGUAGAGGACAACAAAAAUUGUCAACAACACAACUACAUAAGAAACCAAAAAGCUCACACAAAAAUCAUAAGUACCUAUCAAACCAUCUUCUCCUUUAUCUUCUGAUACAGUUGAUAUCGUUGAUGGUGAAUCGGUUUUGGAACAACUUUUAUGCAAUAUAGCUCCACAAAGAAAAAGAUUUCCCUCAUAACUGUUUUCAAUAAAGGUCCCAAAUUGAGCUUUUGGUUCGGGAAUACUACCUGACAAGUUGUUGUAUGCCACGCUGAAAACCUCCAAAGAGUUCAACUCUACCAACUGGUUGGGGAUUUCACCACUCAAAUUGUUGUAAGAAAGGUCCAAACUCUCAAUUUGAUGAAGUUUUGCUAAUGAUGAGGGUAUAACUCCUGUCAACUUAUUAUGCGACAAGUUUAAAGAAUAGAUUUCACUUAAGUUCCCUAAUUCUGGUGGGAUAUGACCAGUUAAGUUGUUGCAAGAUAAAUCAAUCCCGGUCAUAUAUAUAAGGAUGUUUCCCUCGUACGAUAAGAACCCACUCUUUGUUGUGAACUCUAUUACUUCUUCUAAGUAGCCUUCAGGAUAGUAAUAAUUUCCAAGAGCUCCCAAUGUUUUCGCUAAUCCAUCCCCUGUUAACCUUGGUCUAAUUUUCGAAUCAGUUAGAAUCUUAUUUGUUUCCGUUGAAAGGGUUAAAUUUCCCAAACAAGAAGGUAUAAUACCAGAAAACAUAUUUUGAGAAAGAUCUAUGAUGUUUAAAGAAUCCAACUUGCAUAACUGAACUGGAACUUCACCAUGAAAAUGAUUAUCUUUCAAGAGAAGAACACUCAAUGAAGAAAGUGUGCCAAUCCAUUUUGGAAUACUACCAGUCAAAUUGUUUCCUCUAAGAUCUAACGUAACCAGUGAAGAGAUAUUAUAAAAAGCGAUUGGUAGUGGGCCACUUAGUCUACUCCCGUGCAGGUGGACAUGCUUUAUGUUUAGGGUAUUAAAGCAGGACGGUAUAGAGCCAAAUAAAUUGUUUUCAGAGAGAUCCAAAAAUUCCAAGCGAUUCAAGUUGCAAAAUUCCAUUGGAAUAGAACCCUCGAAACCAUUUUGGGACAAAGCUAAUCUCUCCAAAAAUGACACAUUCCCCAUCCAUCUUGGGAGGUUUCCAUAAAACUUGUUAUUUCUGAGAUUGAUUUCCCUUAGUGAAGUUGGAAACUCAGAAAUAGAGACAUCAACAUUUGCCAUCUCCCCAGAAAAAUUAUUUCCAUCCAAAUAUAAUUUUGACAGCCCAUUUGCAUUGAGAAUCACAGGAAGCACAUGUCCACUGAGGUUGUUGUUUGAUAGUCUCAAAAUGGUCAACGAGUUUUUUGUGAUUAACUCUUCAGGUACUCUUCCAGACAAUUGAUUGUUUGAUAAAUCUAAAAUCGAUAAAUCCUUCAUGCCACUCAAACAAGGAGGGAUAUCACCUUCGAAGGCAUUCUUGGAUAAGAACAAUAGGCUCAAAUGUGGAAAAGGUGAACACACGUUGGCUGGAAUCUGACCUUGCAAUUUGUUUUGGGAUAUGUCAAUUAAAGACACUUUAGAGUUAGGAGCUGACGGUAAUGAGAGAGGACCGGUAAAUGAAUUACCCUUCAAGAUGAGAUCUUCUAACUUUGUGUUGUUUUCUAACAACCAAGUUGGGACUGUUCCGCUGAAAUUGUUAUGAGAAAGAUCCACAUAUCUCAAGUCAUAUUGGUAGUAAAGGAAGGUAGGAAGCUUACAACUGAGCUGUUGAGAUGUUAUGCACUUUGGCAAACUAAUGACUUCCAAUUGGAACUUUGGGAUUGAGGUAUAAAAGGAAGGUUCCGUUACCAUCUUGUUUUCAUUACUCAAGAGGGCUUUGAGGUUUGAAAGGUUUGCAAAUGGUGCGAAUGACAACGGAAUUUGAAAAUGGUUUCCUGAAAUAUCUAACUCACGAAGAGAUGUCAAGUUACUGAAACAAUGAGGAAGCNNNNNNNNNNNNNNNNNNNNNNNNNNNNNNNNNNNNNNNNNNNNNNNNNNNNNNNNNNNNNNNNNNNNNNNNNNNNNNNNNNNNNNNNNNNNNNNNNNNNNNNNNNNNNNNNNNNNNNNNNNNNNNNNNNNNNNNNNNNNNNNNNNNNNNNNNNNNNNNNNNNNNNNNNNNNNNNNNNNNNNNNNNNNNNNNNNNNNNNNNNNNNNNNNNNNNNNNNNNNNNNNNNNNNNNNNNNNNNNNNNNNNNNNNNNNNNNNNNNNNNNNNNNNNNNNNNNNNNNNNNNNNNNNNNNNNNNNNNNNNNNNNNNNNNNNNNNNNNNNNNNNNUAAUUCUAAAGGAUGAGAAGAGGUAUUAGAUGUUAAUCAAACGUAAUCUGUUUUGGAAAAGAAAAUCAUGUUCAGAUAAUGGUAUUGUAGAUAAAAGGUUUUAACUGAUGAGAAAGCCUCCACUAAAUUUUGUAAUGGAAUGCUUCCAUCGGUGAAAACGUGAUCAAGAGACACAACUUUCAAAUUUCUCAAUCCCUUAUUUUCUGUAAGUGAAAGAAAUAUAUAAAUAUUUGUUUUCAUGAAUAAGAUAAAAGUUUAAUAGAGAAUGUCCAAAUCUUAACAUAACUAUUCAUUCAUUUUAUUAAUUAAUAAACUAAUCCUUUUUAGUCAUUCUAAGAUANNNNNNNNNNNNNNNNNNNNNNNNNNNNNNNNNNNNNNNNNNNNNNNNNNNNNNNNNNNNNNNNNNNNNNNNNNNNNNNNNNNNNNNNNNNNNNNNNNNNCAAGUUCUUUUAUUUUAAAAUGUCAACACCAAUAAAUUAUUUUUUUUUUAAAAAUAACAAUGUUAACAAUUGAACUUGGAUUUUAAAAUUUAAAAAAUAGAGGGAUCAAAUUCCCGAAAAUAAAAAUACAAGAAUUAAAUUACAAAUUUGUAAAGAGUACAUAGACCUAUCACAUUUUUUUUAACCAAAAAAUUAACAACAUGUGCAUUUUGAAAUAUAUAAAAAGUUAAAAAAAAAAGAAGUUUAAGCACCUCAAAAUGUAUGUUUAAAUUUCAUAAAAUUGAAGUUUUUUUUAUAUUAUUCAAAAUUGACAUUUAUUUAUUUUUGGCCAAAAAAUGCCAUUUAUUUAACUCUAAUAUGUAUUAAAAAUAUAUGAAAUUAAAAUAUAGUUAUAUUACAUAUUUUCCCAUAAAUAUAUGUAUUUUUACUUAUAAUAUCAUUUUUAUUGUUAUAAUUAUUUUUUAUCUCAUAAAAAUUCAAUAAAUUAUUUAAAAAAUAUAGUUAUACAAACAAAAUAAUUAUAAACAUUAAUAUUUAAAAAUUAUGAAAAAUUUAAAGAAUUUUAGUUUCAAACCAAAGUCGAAACACAUUAUAAUGGAGGGUUUAGAAAAUGUUUCACCAAACCCAUAUUUUACUUUCAAGUAUGAUAUGAUAUAACUUUAUUAAUAUUUAUGACAAUAACUGUUAUUAUAAUAUCUGAGAUCAAAACUAAAUUUCUAAAUUAAAAAAGAAAAGGAAAUUUAAUUAAAUGAUACCUUGGUGGAUCACAAAAUCUCUCAAUUCAUUAUAGCUCAUAUCUAGUUCCCUUAAUUUGAUAAAUGCUUCCAAAUCUAGGAAAACAAAAACAACAAAUUAAUCAACUCCAUUAUAUUCUCUUAAAACAUUAUUAUAUUCUUGUUAAAAAACUAAUAUUUUUACCUUUCAUAUCUAUUGAUCCUUUCAAUUGAUUGACCCUUAUGCUCAACGAUUUCAAAUUUGAAAGCUUGUUAAGGGAUGCAAAUGCACUAGUAUUGAAGAGAUUUCCAUCUAAAUUAAGCUCUUCCAAGUGGGUCAACUCCAAUUUUCUACCACCAUCUACAAAAGAUUUAUAUAAUUUCAUCACUGAAAUGAAUUGGCAUAAAAUUUAAUUAUAUGUAAGAAUUUAGGUAAUUGGUUAAAUAUAAAUGCAUACCUUUUAAGGAUUGAAAGCUUUCAAUUUGAUUCCAACUUAAAUCGAGUUUCUUCAAAUUCGUUAAAUUACUCAAUCCUAUACAUAUCCUCGUCCAAUUUAAAAAAUCAUUAUGUUAAUAAUUUUAAUUUCUACUUAAUAUUUUAAUGAAAUAAAAAUGAAAAAAAAGUAAAUCUAAAACUUGGAAUGAAGAUGAAAAUCCUCAAACGUGAAAUGUGAAUGUUCAAAAUUGAAACAAUUAAUUUUAAAAGGUUCUAGAAAGAAUUAUCAAGAAAAACAAAGUUAUAGCUUUAGUACCUUUAGUAUCUAAUGAACCUUGCAAAUGGUUGUAGUACAAAGUCAAAGACUUUAGGCUUGAAAGCCCUUGAAGAAAGGAAAUUGUGUUGUUCCGAAAGAGAUUAUCACUCAAGUCAAGUUCCUCCAAGUUUGUUAACCUCAGUAGUGUUCCAUCUAUCAUUGGAAGAAAAUAAUGAGUAUAGUUAAUAUCAUUCAAGAUAUAAAUAGUUAGGAAAAAUGAUUGUUUGAGAAGGAAGAGCCAGUUUACAAGCUUUCCCAUGAAUUGAUAACUACAUUUUACAAGUAAAACUUAAUUGAUUCAAUAUAUAAAUACUUUGUUUGAGAUACCUUCCUACUUUAAUUACUCAAUCCCAAAUAUUGAUUACUUAUAUAUAUUCAUGAUAUGAUAAAAGCAAAUGACUUAUUAAUUGCAACAGCUUUUCCUUCAACAUGAAUUUAAUGCUAUUCUUCAAAUAAUUCCAACUUAUAUCAAUAAUCUCCAAUCUAAUGAGCCAUUGAAAACCUGAUUUAUAUAUUAUAUAAUUAGUUACUACAAAACAUAAAUAAAUAAUAAUACUCCAUUUUUGCAAUAAAAAUUCACUAAAGAAAAUACAUUUGAAGUUUGUCAUUGCCUUUUGGAAUAAGAGUCGGUCAAGAAAGUUUGUUAGGCUUAAUUGUGUUCCAUCUAUGAUUGGAAGAAAAUAAUGAGUAUAGUUAAUAUCAUUCAAGAUAUAAAUAGUUAGGAAAAAUGAUUGUUUGAGAAGGAAGAGCCAAUUUAGAAGCUUUCCCAUGAAUUGAUAACUACAUUUUACAAGUAAAACUAAUUGAUUCAAUAUAUAAAUACUUUGUUUGAGAUACCUUCCUUCUUAAUUUAUUCAAUUUUGAAAUUCAAUCCCAAAUAUUGAUUACUUAUAUAUAUUCAUGAUAUGACAUAUUGCAACAACUUUUCCUUCAACAUGAAUUUAUUUUAAAGAAUGCUAUUCUUCAAACAAAUCCAACUUAUAUCAAUAAUUUCCAAUUUAAUGAGCCACUGAAAACCUGAUUUAUAUAUUAUAUUAUUAGUUACUACAAAACAUAAAUAAAUAACAAUACUCCAUUUUUGCAAUAAAAAUUCACUAAAGAAAAUACAUUUGAAGUUUGUCAUUGUCUUUUGAAAUAAGAGUCGGUCAAGAAAGUUAUGCACAAAUACUUAUACCUUUGUUUGAGAUGCUUUCAAUGUUGUUGUCACUUAAAUCCAAGUACUUCAAGUUUGUCAAAUUAUUCAAUCCUGAAAUUCAAUCCCAAAUAUUGAUUAGCUAUAUAUAUUCAUCGUAUGAUAAAAUCAAACUUGAACAUACAUUGAUUUUUAAAGUUAAAAAGAAACAGGCAAAAUCAGUCUACCGUGAAUAUGAUCCAGCCUUCCUUUCAACUGAUUAGCGCUCAAUCUUAAAGUCUUCAAGGAUGAAAUAUUUCUCAUAUGGAACAGAAUGGUAUUCUUCAAAGAAUUCCCACUUAAAUCAAGAGUUUCCAAGUUAUUGAGUCUUGAAAGCAAUUGAAAACCUGAUAUAUAUAUAUAUGUAUAUAUAAUUACUUGUUAAUUGUUUUCUUCUUUCUUCGCUAUAUGAAAAUUUUACUAAAGCAAAAGUGGAAUUACAACGAAUAAAAAGAAUGGAAAACUUGGUACCAAGCCUAGAAGACCAUCCUCAAACUCCACUAUACAAAUAAAAACUAACAUCAGACCAAACUUAAUUUACCUCUUAGAUGACUUGAUCCUUCAAAUUUGUUGAUUGAUAGAUCUAAAUACCGGAGAGAUGAAAGCUCACUCAAAGAUAACAAAAUGCUAUCAUUCAAGUAAUUUUCACUUAAGUCAAGGAUCUCCAAAUUACUCAAUGUGGAUGAUAGUUUUCCAAAGCCUGUAGAAGUGUUCUUUUAAAUAUAUACAAGUUAGUGACUUUUCUUUAAUAAAAUAAAAUAAAAUAUAAGUAAUUGUAAAUUAACAAUGGUGAGAAUAGUGGAAUAGUAAAAGAUGUAAUUAAGGAAAAAUUAAAGGCACGACCUUCAUUUUCAAGGCUACCACCUAUGACAUUUCCCGACAAAUAAAGUCUCUUCAAUUCCUCAAAAGGAAGAAACAUAGAGGCAUUGAGAUACCAGGCAUUGAGAUUCCUAUUAUCCAUGACGUAUUCCAUAUUGUCUUCCCAUUUUGUAGAAUUAAGGGAGAGUUGUAUGAGUCUCCUAGUGGUGGUGUUACACUCAACUCUUUCCCAUUUACAACAAUCUGAACCCUUCACCUCAACCCAACUUUGCAAUUGAUUACGAUAAUUGAAGAAAGGCUUGAGAUGCAAGAGAGCGAUUCUCUCAUGCUCCAAACAAGCAUCAGUAGUACACCAACUGCAUCUUUCUAACACCAACAACAUUACUGCCAUCCUAAUAAACCAUAAGUACCAUUUCCACUCCAUCAUCAUCAUCAUCUUUCUGUUUUCACUUCUCUCUCAGCUAUAUGUUACUUUUUCUUAACUUCUAUAUGUAUAUAAUCUAAAGAAGCCUAAGCUUCUUUUUUAUAUACAAGCAGAACAUUUUGCAUCCCACUAAUUUACUAUAAUAUAAAAAUAAUAUAUAAUUAAUUAAUUCCUCAAAAAUUGGAUCAAUCUAGGCUUCUUAUUUACGUAAAUUCCUUAUUGCAAAACCUCUUGGUAGAAAUUCGUUAGGAAAGGAUGAAUGGACCACAAGAAUGCUUAUCAACUCUUGACUUUGGCGUCCAAUGCUAAAUUUAUUUUAAAAUUUCUUCAUGGAGACAAGAUGGGAUGACAAGAAUGAUAAGUUUUAAGUCAUUUAAGUUUACACAAUUUUAAUCACUCAUAAAAACAAGUAUUGACAUUCUAUUAAAGAAUUUAAACAUGGCUUAACGUUGAUUUUAAAUCUAAUGUUGAUGUUAAUCUUGAAAAAAGAAUGGCCAAAAAAAUAUGAAAAGUGAGAGGUGGACAUAAAAUAGUGUAGUUGGGGUUAUAAAAUUCUUCAUGUAGACAUUAUAUUUUUUUUAUGCCUUUUUUACACUUAUAUAAAGUUAGUCUUGACUUCGCUUUAUUAAUAGAAAUUUUAGGUCUUCAUUUUUUGUUUUAUUCAUGGGCAUAAUAUUUUUUUAUUUUUAUUUUAUGGUCUAUGAUCGAGGUUUAUGACUAUCCCCUUUCAACAACGUCGUCUCAACUGUUCAAACAUACCCUUGCAGGUAAAAUAAUACUUUUUAAAAUCACAAAUAUUUAAGAUAAUACAUUGCAGCUAUAUAAAUGCUUUCUUGUUUAAGAUACUAAUAAAGUAAUUAACAAAGUAAUUAUUAUACCUAUAAUAAUUCAAAAUGCCACUUGUUAUCUAAUGAAGUAUAGGGGUGCAAAUGAGACAUCCGUACUCGCAAGCUAUUCGAAUUUGGCUCAAAAACUUUUGAAAUUGAUUUGGUAAUUAUUGAGCCGAGCUAUAGGUCGAUCCAGAUUCGAGCUUAGUAAUACUUAACUCGAGUAUUUUGAGAGCCUUAUUGAACUUUUUAUAUUUUUAUAUUAUUAGAUUACAUUAUUGCUAUUAAUAUAUAUUAUUAACUCUAAGUUUAAUUAUAGAGGCGAGCUCAAACUCGAGUACAAAAAUUGAUAAACAUAUUUAAUUUCGAGCUUAAAAAUAUAUGUUCGAUCGAGCAUCAAGCUUUGAAUUUCAAAUUAAACUUGAGUUUAACAGUAUUGAGUUCAAAUAGAUUCAAUUACACCCUACAAUAAAAUAUACCAACAAAACCUACAUUCCAUCUUUGCUAUAAAUUUUAUGUAUGUGUGUGUUUAACGUGAGUUCCAUCUAUGUCCAACUUGAUGACGAUGAAAGUUCCUAUGGUGUAAAAAGUUUUAAUUAUGUGGAAAAAUAAGGUCUUCUCUUCACACGUUUAAUAUGCUUACUUGUGUCGGUCAUUUCGAGCUUCACAUCAAUUUUCAAAAAGUUGGAAAACUUAUGUCUGCUUUUAUGAUUCUUUUAUGUGUGUGUUUAACGUGACUUCCUUGUGAGUUCCAUCUAGGUCCAACUUGAUGACAAUGAAAGUUCCUAUGGUGUAAAAAGUUUUAGUUAUGUGGAAAAUUGGUGGAAAACUUACGUCUUUUCACUUGCUUUUAUGAUUCUUUUUACAUGAUAUUACUAUAUAAUUAAAUUGAAAUACUGAUAAAUUUGAACCCAUAUGAUGUAAGUCUAGGCAUCAUCUAAUUUAUUGAUAUUUAAUUAAUUAAUAUAUAUACUUUCAAUUAUAAGAAUUGAAACAUAACUUUCAAGCCAAUUGGAGUAUGCCCCUGUUACACGUCAAAAGAAGUAGAUUUUGAACUCAACAUGAACCUGUGAGAUUUGAUGCCUAAAAUAUAGGUAUAAGGUUUCAAUUCAUGGAAAUGUUGGAAAUCUUGGAAAUUUCUUAGUCUCCUCUCUUUGGAUGUUUUUGAACAAAAAUGUUUUAAGUCUCUUCCGAUGCUAAACUUCUGAUUGGUCGUCGGUUCACUGACCCUUUGGUACACAGCAAUAUGAAGCAUUGGCCAUUCAAGGCCAUUGCUGGUCCUGGUGAUAAGCCAAUGAUUGUACUACUAUAGAUUUGAAUAUUUGUACACAUUUGAUCGGCUCUUCGUAAAUUUAAAUCUUACAAAUUCGGAUAAUAUUUGAACUUUGAAUGUAUGUUUUGUUGGUGAGAAUAUAAAGUUGAUAAAGAUUUGGUAAAUAGAGUAAAUUACUAUUUUUAUUAGAAAAAUUAUUUGGUACACUGCCAAUCGAGGUAAUUAAAACAUGUCAUAUUAUAAAUAAUAAAAUUAUGAUGACUCAAAUAUACGAACAUGUCAAAAUUUAUGUACAACAAAUUAUUAACAUGUAAAUGUAUAAUACGGUACGCAAAAAUAAGAUAAUUUCUUGUUUUUUUAAUUGAAUUGUUAUAACAUAUUAUACAAAAUACAUCGUGAAUUAAAGCAUAAUAUGAACAUGAUAUCAAAAUAUUAAUUUUUUUUAAAAUUCAAUGAUACGAAUAAUUAUGUAAAAUAUAACAUGAUACAAAAUAUCUUGAGAGGAAAAGAGGAAUAAAGAAUUGCAUUAUUUGUGAGGUUUUAAAAUAUUCCAGUUUUAGAUUCAAUUUUCUAGUAUGUUUGGUUUAAUUUUACAUUAGAUUUCCUUUUCAGUAUGCACUAGUGAACGCUUAGCAGUCAGUUUAAUUUAAUUGAAAGAGAUAUUGCAUAUACAUAAUAAUGGAUUAUGAUCUUACAUUAAAUUUCAUAGAAGAAAAAGAAAUAGAUGGUUGAAAAUGAUAAAACCAUAAGAUAAAAGAGCUUUUAUUCAAAAUGCAAAAAUCAACAAAAUAUUCAUUAUCACUCAACUUAGCAUAAUUAAACAUUUAGGUGAGGAAACAAAUCACAAUUUGAGUAGCUAAACACAUUGCUUGAAAAUGUGAUAAGUAAGAAAAUUGCCCACAUUUGAGUAGCGACAUGUGGUGAUGCAUUUCCCAACGAGAGAAAACUAAGCUCUUCACCAGUAUGGAUUUAUGUAGAGGACAACAAAAAUUGUCAACAACACAACUACAUAAGAAACCAAAAAGCUCACAAAAAAAUCAUAAGUACCUAUCAAACCAUCUUCUCCUUUAUCUUCUGAUACAGUUGAUAUCGUUGAUGGUGAAUCAGUUUUGGAACAACUUUUAUGCAAUAUAUCUCCACAAAGAAAAGGAUUUCCCUCAUAACUGUUUUCAAUAAAGGUCCCAAAUUGAGCUUUUGGUUUGGGAAUACUACCUGACAAGUUGUUGUAUGCCACGCUGAAAACCUCCAAAGAGUUCAACUCUACCAAUUGAUAGGGGAUUUCACCACUCAAGUUGUUGUAAGAAAGGUCCAAACUCUCAAUGUGCUGAAGUUUUGAGAAUGAUGAGGGUAUAACUCCGGUCAACUUAUUGUGUGACAAGUUUAAAGAAUGGAUUUCACUCAAGUUCCCUAAUUCUGGUGGGAUAUGACUAGUUAAGUUGUUGCAAGAUAAAUCAAUCCCAGUCAUAUAUGAAAGGAUGUCGCCAUUGUACGAAUAGAACCCACUCUUUGUUGUGAACUCUAUUACUUCUUCUAAGUAGCUUAGAGGAUAGUAAGAAUCCAUUUCCAGGUUUCCUAUCAUAAUGCGUGUUGAUUCAUCCUCUUCUAUAGAUGGCCCAUAGAACCCAGUUUCUAGAAUCCUCUUCAUUUGUAUUGGAAGAGAUAAAUUUCCCAAACAAGAAGGUAUAGGACCAGAAAACAUAUUUUGAGAAAGAUCUAUGAUGCUUAAAGAAUGCAACUUGCAUAACUCAAUAGGAACUUUACCAUGAAAAUGAUUAUCUUUCAGGAGAAGAACACUCAAAGAAGAAAGCGUGUAAAUCCAUUUUGGAAUACUACCUGUCAAAUUGUUUCCUCUAAGAUCUAAAGUCACUAUUGAAGAGUUAUUAUAAAAAGCAAGUGAUAGUGUGCCUCUCAGUCUAUUCCCGUGGAGGUGGACAUGCUCUAUGUUGGUGGAUUAAAACAUGACGGUAUAGAGCCAGAUAAAUUAUUUUGAGAAAGAUCCAAAAAUUCCAACCUAUUCAACUUUCAAAAUUCCAUUGGAAUAGAACCUUCAAAACCAUUGUUGGACAAAUUUAAUCUCCACAAAAAUGAUGCAUUCCCUAUCCAUCUUGGGAGCUUUCCAUGCAACUUGUUACUGAGAUCAAUUUCGCUUAGUGAAUUUGGAAACUCAAAAAGAAAUGUUCACACAAAGUUUUUUCCAACAUAUGUCUGUCAUUUGUGGGGUCUUGAAUUUAAUAUCAAUGGUUGAAUUUUCAUAGCUAAUAUGUACGCAAAAGGCUUAGUGGGUGGAAUUUUAUGUCUGGAAAGCGUUUCUACAAUGACAUAAUUAAUUGCAUUACUUUUCAAAGAUUGACUAUUGACUUUGGUGAGCUUAUUAGGUUAAAUUCUGCUGCUGGUCACUGUUCUUUGUAAAAGUUGUAAAUUUAGUCUAUUUUCUUCAAUUUGAUCAAUUUUAAUCCCUAUACAUUUUGAAUUUUAAAAUUUUAGUUGUGACCCAAACAAUAGAGUUAAAUCAAUUUAAUUAAAACCAAUUACUAGUCCUAUAUUAUGCGUACAAUUGUUGAUUUAGUCCAUACUCUUCAAUUGGAUCAUUCUAAGUACCUAUAUUUUUCAAAUUUUAAAAUUUCAGUCUUGAUGCAAAUGACAAUCCUUAGUCUGUUAACUAGAUUUUUAGUAACAUAUGAAAAUAAUAAGAUGAUAUGACAUUACAAAUAUGAUAAUAUUUUUGCAUUAAAUAUGUCAACAAUGACAUAAUUAAUUGCAUUAACUUUCAGACGUUGACCAUUGACUUUUGCGUCAACCUUAAGCUUAUAUAGCCCCUACAAUAAUUUAUAGCCCCUACAAUAAUUUAGGUUAUGGAAAUAAUCUUACAAUUAAUGCCUGAGAAAUUAUUAUAGAUCAAUUUAUAGUUUUAAUCCCUAUAAUUACUCAAUUGAAUUAAGAUUCAGUUUUUCUUAUUUAAUUUGAUAUAUUUUGUUUUCUUAUUAAUGUUAAUGUUAUGGAUUAGUUUUUUUUAAGACAACUUCAUUAUUUUAUUCAAUGAAUAAUACCAUACAAUUCGGGGGAAAAUAACAAGCAAUCGUUGUACUCCUUAAAGGACAAGCUCCAUAAAUACAACAAAAGCUUUAGCUUCAACAUUAAUACAACAUUAUGGCAUGUUGAAAUCGGCUCCGUCACAACUCAAGCACAACAUAUCAGGAGUGAUUACAAGCACUUAAUAUAGUAAGAAAAUCAACCCUGGAUGGUCCAAAGCGGAGGGCAUAAAUCGGCAAAAGAACUGAGCAUCCACCAAACUAGAGGGGAUGUGGCGACAAAACCAACCCUAAAAUUACUAGCAAAAGCAAGACUAAAAAGCGUACUACAAGAGUAGACAAAAACUUCUAAAAGUUAAACAAUGGAAAAAUAAACAAAAAAAAUACAAAACUUAAGAUAACAUGAGUCUAAAACGAGUCAUGAAAUCAUUUAUUAUUUUGAAACUCUCAAAACAUAAACAAAUUAAGAUAUCAACGAAGAGGUACCCACUUUCUAAAAGAAAGUGUUGGUCGUCGGUGGUGUUUCAAUGAUGAUAGGCAUUGUCACCUGUCCAUCACAACUUGUAAAGACAACAAAAAUACCCACAAAAUAAAUCUGUAAAUUGAAAAGAACGAAGACUCAUGGAGUGAAUGAGAAGAAGAAAAAUAAAAAGGGUUAAUAGGGAGGAGAAAAAGGAGGGCGGUAACUAAUCCUGAGGCUAACACCGCUGGUAGGCUAAAAAAAAAAAAAAAGCAAACAUGUUGUGGAUUAGUUAAAAUAACUAACAUCAUUGGAAAUUUCAUUAGUUGGCUGAUUUGGAUUUUUUAAAAAAAAAAUUGAAACUAGAAACCAUAAAUGAUCUAACAUUUAGAAACCAUAAAUUGGGUUUUUUUUCAAUUGCUUUGCUGUCCAACUCCAUCCAUCUAAAAUCGCAAGGAUGUACCCAUGUUCAAUAUGCAGUACAGAGUACAGACCCAAAAAUUGACCAUAUAAUGUGGCUGAAGAGAAUUUUCGAAUGGUUUUAAAGAAUUAUGAGAACACAAUGAAUAAAGUUAAGGCAUCAUUUAUUCAGCUUGCUAUAAUGCAGGUCAUUCCAAUAAAGAAGCAUUUUUUAACUACAUUUUCCGUUACCCCAAUAACAAUGAAAUCCCUUAUUAUAGCACAGUAUGUUCUCCGAUGAACAUAGAACUCACCAUUUUUAGGAACACGUGUAGUUGAGGAUGAGAAUUCGGAUCAACUGUAACUUCAAAUAGUGGAAUGAAAACAUUGUCCAGAAUAUUCUGAAAAGAUUUUACAAUUCCCAUUUGCUUGUACACAUUAUACAAUCGUGGUGACUGCAGAAUUAAGUCAAAAUCAAGUGAAGAAGGUUACCUUUGACUUGAGAAAUAUAUCACAGAGAGAGAGAGAGAGAGAGAAAACAGUAAUCUGGAAAGAUGAUGCUUAAUAUGGACAUGAUACCCUAAAAACCGAUCUUAAAUUUUAAUUUCUAAAAUGUUAUUAGCUUGUGCAUACUUUCAAAUACUUUUCAUUAGAGUUACCAUAGACUAAUUUUUCCAAUUUUAGAUGAUUCAAGAAACUACUUGGGGGCAAUUCUUAAAUAAACAUGUCCGAACAGUAGUCAUUAACAAGAAAGCAUCCAAGAAAACCAGCAGUUAAUACUUAAAUAAACAUUAUCAAAUGGAGAUGUAAAGAAGAAAGAAUCCUACUGCAAAGCUAGAUAGCAGGAGAAUCACUAGAAUGAAGAGAAAUACUAUUGGCACUAUACCUGGAUUAACCAAACAGUAGUCUCACUAUAAAUUUCAUUGUUAAUAAACCAACUUGCCAACUGGUCCCAUUCACUUUGUUUCCUUCCGUAUAUGGACACCCUGUACUCUGCCAUCUUGAAAAUAUAUAUAUUAUUCAGUGUAGUCAGAGGCGCAAGGAGCACUCUAGGUGCUAGAAUCCUUUUAUUAUAUAAGGCACAUGGCGCACAAAAAAAAAAAAAAAAAACACUUGCUUGUGUUAAGGCACAUGUAUGCGUGUUUUGGUAUGUCCAUGUCUGUAUAUAUAUAAGCCGAAGAUAUAUAAUUAUAAUAAUAAACUAUAAAAGUGCUCCAGUUUGAAGUACAGAACAUGCCAAAUUUUCUUUCUUUUGUCAACCAUAUGCAUAUUUCCAUAUGAUCCCAUGCCUGGUGUUGAAUACUCAAAUAUUGAGAAGUAGAGAGUUCGAUAUUAUCCCUUUGUUACAAUUAAGAAACAAUUAAAGAGAUAGUAAAGAGAACUUCAAUUAGAAGGCCUUUUCCCCCUACAUGCACCAGGCAGGCGCUUAGCCUGAAAAGGUCAAAGGCCCUUUUACUGUCUGGUGAAAAGGCAAAAAACAUUGGACAAAGUUGGUGGGAGGAUGGAAUACUAAAAAGAGCCCAAUGUUGUCACUUUUCUAAAGUAAGCUCAUAUGCUUUUUUUGUACCCAAACAAUAUCUCACCCUUUAAUUUGUACCUAAAGAAAUUAUUUCUAAUAGAAAGUUUACUUUUGUUAUGAUCAAUGCUGGAGGCCAAAACUGAUUUGGGCUAAGGAAUUGGUGGUGAGAGUUGGGAGGCAAGAAGAAAGAAAGUCCUUGAGUGUUAUAUUUUUCAAAAAAUACAAAUUGUUCAUUUUUUUACCACAUCAUCAUGCCAGGUCAGCUUCCAUGUGGAUAAAGAAAAUUUUGGCGGCAUUGAAACAGAGGCUCACUUAGGAAAAAGAAGGAUACUUCAUGGGCUUUUAGUAAUUUAGCCCUUGGAAGGAAUAUGACCAUCCAAAAAAAGGCAGUUGAUGCUUUAAGGUCAAUUAGCCGAAACAAUAACAACAAUUCCUAGGCUUCAAUAAAAUAAUUUAGACAACAAAUAAAGCUUUAAGGUUGAGUUUUGCACUGCAGCAGCAUUGGGUUUUACAAGGUGAAAACCCACAUUGCAAAAAAAAUAUCAAAGUUUCAGAUCAAUCAUAAUUUAAAAUUCUAACUAAACCAAACGCCAAUGCUGAAUGCCUAAACAAAAAACAUAAGAUUAACCCAAGGACCUAAUUGGGUAUGCUAAAAUUUGUCUUGGAAUGAAAUUAAUAAUAUCCUUACUAUUUCACUUUUUUUCUCUUCAUAUGUUUGGUGUGAGCAUGAUACAGAUUAGACUGAUUUUAAAGUAAAAGUAAAACGAUACCAAACCUAAACAUUCUGGUUUUUUUUAAUUUUUUAUCAGAGCCCUGUUUGAUGCAUUUUUAGUUUUGUUUUCUAAUAACAAAUGGAAAGUUAAUUAAAAAAAAAAAACUCUAAUCCAAUGAGUUCUUUUAUAGAUACAAGAUAAGUCCUGCAAAGUUUUUGUUUUUUAGAAAUAAAAUUUUAUUUUUGUUUUUUAAUUGAUCUUCAUACCUAUUUUAAUAUCUAAGUUCCGGAUUCCUAACUGCCCUAUCAAUAAUAUAGUAUUCAAGAUUUGAACUUAUAUUUUUCUUUAAAAAUAUAAUGUAUUUUAUUAUUGUAUUCUACAUUCAUUAAUACUUAGUAGAAAUAACCUAAUAAAUUGAAUUUUUUUCAUAUAUUAAUAGAGAUAAGUUCGUGCAAAAUUGUUGGUUGAAAAUUCAUGAAUGUACCAUCAUCAUAAGUGAGCUCAAUGAUGCUCUGUCAUCUCAAUAUGAAGCCUCCUAUCAAUCACCAGUCUGCAGAAAACAUUUGAAAUCGAAACACCCCGGACAUCUCCGACAAAUCUGCCAUAACAUUAGCAUCUCUUCCAUUUUUCUAAACACAACCUCACGAAUGGAAAUCUUAAGCUCAUCAACGCUCGCAUAAAUGUACCAAUAUUUCCACGGCCUAGAUUUCUCAUUGAUACACCAAGAAAGCUUGACUAUGGAGUCGGAUUCAACCAUAAGCUUUCAGUCUAUAAUCCACUAGGAAUCCAAAAAAAUUUUAAAUGUUAUAUUAUUAUAUAAAAAAUUGAAACAUGACUUCCGUAGGUUUUAAAUCUAAUGUUGACACUAAUCUUGAAUAAGUCAUUCCCCUCCCAUCUUAACUAAUUGCCAAAGAGCUAUCAAAAGUGGGAGAUGGCCAUAAAAUUGUGUAGUUUGGGUUAUAAAAUUUUUGUUUAGUUAUUUUGAUCACUCCAGUUAAAAUAAAAAAUUGUAAACUGACGCAACAGUUAAAAAAAUGUAUAAUAACAAAUUUAACCCUCAAAUUUUAUAUAUUAUAUCAAUUACAUAUUACAACUACAUAUUUUAUAAUUAUUGAUAUCGAAUAUGUCCCUCACUACGCUGGGGAUUUUUAUUUUAUUUUUUUAUAAUUUGUUUUUAAUUAAUAUUUAAAAUUAAUUUCAAAAUAUUUGAAAAUUUUAUAAUUAUUUGGUGUUAGUCCCUUCAUUAUACUCAAAUUUAAGAUUAAGCCCCUAUACUUUAAUUUUGACAUAAUUUGGUUCUUUCACUUUUAUAAUCUCAUUAAUUAUUUCAAGUAACUAACACUUUUAACAAUGCCAAAUAAAAUAAUGUCAUAUUUUUUUCUUAAAGCCAUCACUUCUAACUAAAUAAUGACUUAAUCACUUUCUAAUUAAUCAUACUAACGUAGAAUUUUUUUUUUUCGUUGGAAUGAGUAUGUUUAAAGAAAACCCACCUCAACAUUUGUAGAUGUCUUCAACAAUUUCCUAAGCACGAUACAAUAAAGCUUGGUGAUCGUAUAAUUUUGUUUUAUGGAAGCUCCAAAUUAUGUUGAUUCUUGAAUGAUACGGUCUGCAUGGGUUUGUUUUGGGUGCUAUUAGUGUACUAGCACAGUUUGUAGUGGAUAAAUAUGGGAGAUUAGUAGAAAAUUCUGAUUAUGUUUUACAUGUGCAACAAGAUAAGCUAUUGGCUUCUUGGUUACUUUCAACUGUUAGUGAUGAAAUUCUAGCCUAUCUUACUAGUGCUCGUACUAGUUAUUAUAUGUGGGAAAUUACUGGUGCCUGCACCUACAUUACUUACUAGGUUGGGCGGUAUAGUGCAAAGGAAAUAGAUUUCUGGUGUCUGCACCUAAAUUACUUACUAGGUUGGGCGGUAUAGGUUGUGAAAUUGAUAAAGCCAAUAAUUUCAGUUUGAAAUAUAAUGAUUUCUGUUGGGUUGCUCAAAUGCUUUAGCAAGAACACGAGACAGAAAAAUUGUCAAUUAAGCUUUACUAGGAUGAAGGGCGACGAUAAUUGUGUUGGUGAACGGAACUUUUCCCUUACAAAAUCUUAAAUAUUCAAUCUGCGUAUUCUUUUUAGUCCCAAAAAUAACAAUGUCAAUUCGCAUCAGUUCCCUUAUGCUUCAUUUAGUUUCAUUUUUCUCUUCUACUGUAAGAAUAAGUGCAUUUUUUUUCCUUCUUAUGUCCUUAUUUUUGGAAAUUGAGAUUUUCGAUCUCUUUUCUACCGUCUCAAAAAGUUGACAUGGCAGUCACUGUUUAUUUGGCUGGAUGCCCGGGCUUUAAUGGGCUAAAGCCAAAGCUUAUUUCAAGAUUUGUUGCUGUUUGUACCUGAUGGAUUUAUUGUUUCAAUUCAUUUCUUUUUACUUUUCAGAUUUUUUUUUCCACUUUUCUGUUUUAUAGGGCUCUUAAACUGUUUCAUGUUGUCCAUUUAAAGGCGUUUAAGAAUUGCAUUUACAUUCUUCUAUGUUUAUUUUACUUUUACUAGAUAUUGCACGUUGAAUUGUUAAAGCCAUAUGACACUUCAAGGGGACCUGGUUAGUGGUAAUUUAGUUUUGUCUUCUGUGACCUAAUUAAUUGGCCCACUGAUUAAUGGGCGGGAACAUGCUGUGCAGGUAAAAAAUGAGUCUUUGAAUAAACUGAACGAGCUUGAGGAAAUGCGUGAGAGACUAGAGGCAAGGAAAGUAGUUAUGGCAAACAUGUCAACUCGUUGCAAAGUUGCAACAGAGGAUGCUAAAAAACAGGAGGAAAUGCUUAGUACUGAAGUAAGAUCAUUGUUGGUUGCUGGUACCUCUCUUUCUGUAGCAAGGAAGCGAUUACAGGUGAAGCUUUUAUAUUCUAGCUUAAAUUAGCUUUGGAAUUUCAUUUUGAUAUUAUCAUGAAUGCUGAAUUUAUGAUAUAUUUGAAGGUUUCUUCUUAUUCAGCUUUAGAUGUUAUUUAUUCUCCUCUUGGAUCAAUAAGACCUCUCUCUUUGCACCUCCACCCCCUGUGAAGGUGGUUGAGGGGCUUAGAUGAGAUGAUUCUCAUUCUAUGAAUUCCUUUGCAUAGUCAAGGGCUAUCCCCUUCUUGCUCUCCUACUUCUUUGUCUCUUUUUUUAGAUGGUUGGUAGUCUUGCAUGCAUGGCAUGAUUGAUUAUAUGUUGUUUUUAUCACAGGAAGCAAAUAGAUUACUCACUGAAGAAAGGGGUUGUGUUAACUUAAAAAUGUGCAAAAGAAGCUUCGAGCAAGGCAACAAUAUAUGAUAUCACAAGUUUCAUUACUGUAUCCUGUAAAGAUCUUGGUUGGACCUGCACAGAAGCAAGAACUUGAGUCCUACUCUAGCAGUAGUAGAUUAGGUAAUGUGCUAGUAGUUUUGGAUUGCUAAUGCUUUGCAAUAAAGCCAACAUAUGGUCAGUGUCGUCAAGGCAUGCGCCUAGGCAUGCCUACCCCUUAGUUUUAUACAACAAAACGCCUUGUACCCAUCCAGGUGAGGUCCAUUUGAUCAAGCGCAUGCCUGGUGCACCUAGGCACACUUUUUUUGUAAGGCAAUGGGCAUUAGAAAAAGCCUGCCUUGUUGAAUUUCUCAAUAAUUUAUUUUAUUUUUCACUGUUUUCAUUUGAUAUACCUUUACUAAUAAGAAAGGGAUAAUAUCAAACUCUAUAGUUCUCAAUAUUUGAGCAUUCACCUAUAAAAAAAUUGCAAGUUUUGUGGAUAAACCAGACCACACUUUAGAGUUUACUAUAUAUCUUAAACUUUUAUGUUAUAGACACACAGACUUGCAAAAACUCUCACAUAUACGUAUUGCGCUUUACUGCACUCUGGCUAGCGCUUCCUUUUGUGCCUUGCUCUCGAGGCAAUAUAAAGGUUAGCACCUAGAAUGCGCCUUGCGCCCUAGACAACACUGCAUAUGGUUUUAAUUAGCAGCCAGUCUCCUCGUUUUGAAAUCAAUAUGUCUUUCCUGUUUAGUUUGUAGUUUAUUUUUAUAUUCUUAAUUAACAUUUAUCCUCUCACUUAUAUCAUCGAGAACCCAUUGUGAUGCUUGUUAUAUUUCCUCCUACGUUUUCUUUUUUGUUCUUGAGAUUUUGGAUGUUCAAAAUGGUUUGAGGAAAACUUUACCAACAAUAGCAGCUUCUUUCUCUUGAACAAUUCCUUCUUGCAACACGGGGAAUAUCUAUAAAUGGCAUGCCUGGAUAUGCAUAUCCUUUGAUAUCAAAUAUGGUUGGUCCAAUAUGAUGUUUUACUAGGGGAGAAUAAAAUGAGUUAUUUUGGUCAACUGGACAAGUCUUUUAUGAUUCCUAAACAGCUUAAGGAGUACCAUUACCUAUCACUUGACUCUUCUUUUGGUUAUAAUGGUUGUAUUCAGUUAUUCCUCUUUUAGCAAUCUACUAUUCAAUUCUCCUCAUAUCAAAACAAUUUUUUUUUGCUCUUGAAUAUUAUGAACUUUUUACAUAUCUCUUACUUUCAUGAUUAUAUUUUUUUGAAUUUUGUUUUGACUUCCACAAAGAGGUGGUGUCUGGUGAUGUACUGAUACGAAGUUCCUUUGUUCCUGACUUCACUAGGGAAUCCUUCUGCAUCAAAGCCCGUCAAUCAAGGAUCGUUGACGAUUUUAGGUCUGAAUCUCACCUUGCUUCCUUUUACAAAGAUGAGUUUUUUCACUGACAAAAAGGAGGUUCAGAGAUCUGCAACUGCCUUGGGAUAUGUUGCACAUGUGCGUUCUAUUUCUUCUGUGAAGUUAUCAUUUAUUACUGAAUUUGUUUUUUCUGAUAAUAUCAAGCUGUGGAUAUCAAGUUUUUUGACCUACCACCUACAAUCCCUUGUUGCUUGAAGAUGCUGUAGUAAUUUUUAAAUGCUAGGAUGGUAAUAUGGUAUAGUGGGCUGCAUCUUGAUUGUUUAUUUCUCAUGCUGAGGCUAGAAUUUUAAUCAUACCUAUUAUUGUUUCUUGUUUCCUGCCAUUUCAUCAUUUGCAGGCUGUUUCACUAAUUGCAUCCCAUUUACAAGUUCCCUUGCGUUAUCCUCUGCGCUUGGGUUCAAGACACGACAAGAGCAGCAUAUGCUGUGUUCUUGUUAAACAAGGCAAGGUUUUGCAUAGUAGUAAUUCUUUUUCCAAGAUGAAUUAUUCUCCUUUGGCAUUUUUAUGUAUAUUAUUGGAUUCAAAUGGUCUGCAAAGUUAGCUUGUCAAUGCUCUUCAAUCCACAGGUUGGAAAAACAGUGCAUGUUUGUUCGACAGCAUUUACAGCUCAUUUUAUGUCAUUGAUAGUGGAUAAUCUUGCUUCCAUCAUCAUUAAUAUCAUGGUUGAAUUGUUUGGAAGAUAUUGGAUUUACAAUAUCCAGGUUCUUGUGAUAGACACUUGAGACUAUCUAUAAACUUCACCGGUAGAUUAGGUGAAGGAUUAUCAACAAAUUUGAAAAGUGUGUGAAUUCCCACCAUGCAUCUAAAAGGAGGUCCAGCACUCGAAUCUCAUUCCCCAUAACUAAAAACUAUGUCACUGUGACUUGGUCAUAUCUCCAUAUCCAUGUUCGAAUUCGGACAUGGGUAGUUAAAGAAAAAUGAAGAGUUGAUGCAUGAUAGACUAGUUCAAAAGUGCUUUUAGAAAAAAGUGCUGUUGAAAUGUGGUGCGGAAAAGUGUGUUUGUUAAUUUUUAGUGUUGUUCAUUGCUGUCAAAAGACGCGGUUGAAAGGUAAAAUGUCUUUUUUAGACAUGAUAGUAGAAAGUAAAAAAUUAGUCAAAUUAUAUGAUAUUUAAAUAAUUUAAUAUAAUGAUACAUGAAAUAUAACUUUUAAAUACCUUUUAAGUAAUUAAUAUAAAUUAUUUGUAAAAUUGAUUAUAUAUAAAAUAUUUUGAAAAAAAUUAAAUAUAAUAAUAAAUAAGAUUUAAACAAUUUAAUAUAAUAAAAUAUAAAAUAUAAAUUAAUCUAAUUUUUAUUUACCUUUUAAAUAGUUAAUGAAAAUAAGAGUAUUUUGACAAUUUUCACUUCCAAAUGACAAAAGCCAAAAGCAGUAGGUUUUUGACUACAAAAGCUAUGUGUUCUUCAUCACUUCUGGAGUGGAAAAACACUUCUGCAGUGUAAAAACACUUUUAAUAAUUCAAAAAGGCUUUUUCACCACAGUAGAGAAUGCACCAUAAAAUUGUAAAUAGAAAAAGGAAGGACCAAACAUUUUUUCUACCCUGUUUUUGUCUCCUCUUUGAAAAUACUUUCCAAAAAGUUUUAUCUUUUUUUUUUUUUCUGUUUACAAUGCCUUGAAUGCAAAUUCCUUAUAGAAGUGCUUUCUUUUGAUCCACUUGCAUCAUUGUAAGAAGUCUGCAUUGCCUUCUAACUUUCUUUGUUGAUUAUCUUUUAUUAAGUUUUCUGUUGGAUAUUAUAGUCAAAUUCCUUUACAUCAUGUAUGUUAAUUUGCUUAGCCCUGAUAAAUGUUAGUGUUGUGCGGAAGCGUGUAAAAGAGUAAAAUUAUUGUACUAAAAAAUCACACUAAGUUCAAUUCCCAGGAAAGAGAGGUGGAUCACAAAGAUCGCUUAAGUACCAGGUCUUUCCUAGCCAGAAUAUCCCUCAAUCGUAAUUUAAUAGCACAAUAAAUCACUACAAUCACACACACAAUUCAUGCAGAAUAAUACAAUAAAGAACACAAGAAUUUAACGAGGUUCAGCAAAUUUUGCCUACGUCCUCGGGCACUACCAAAUAUAUUUCACUCCAAAAUACAAGUGAGAAUUUACAAAGAGAGAGAGAGAAAACAAUGCCUUAAGUAGAGAAUGGCAAGUUUGAGAUACAGAAUGAGAGAUGGUCAUGCUUAUUUAUAAUUGAGGUUCAGGGAUCAACUUGCAAGGUCACUUUACAAUUAGGGACCAUAUAUUGCAAAUAUCUCAGAUUUUAUUAUGCCAAUAUCUCGAUACCCAUAUCUUUGACUUUCCAAUAUUUGAUACCCAUAUUUUUGACUUUCUAUUAUUUGAUACCCAUAUAUUUGAUUUUCCAUAAAUAUGGAUAAUUCCCAAUAAUCUCCACCUUAAAGAUUUGAUUCGAGUAAUCUUAUCUUCACACAAUUCUCUCUGCCUUUGUCAACAACACUUGAUAGUGCCUUCUUCAACUGUUAAACAUGCAGAAUAUUGAUCAAGUUCAAACAAUGUUCGAACUUGAUUGUUGUUACCACCUUGGUCAUCAUAUCUGCGGGAUUAUCUGCAGUCUUAAUCUUCUGAAGGUGAAUUUUCCCCUCAUCAAUAAUUUUCCGCACAAAAUGGAAACGUACGUCGAUAUGCUUUGAACGUGCAUGAUAGACUUGAUUCUUUGCUAAAUGAAUAGCACUUUGACUAUCACAAUACACAUUAAUAUGCUCCUGAACCAAUCCCAAGGUUUUAACCAUACCUUGUAACCAAAUAGCUUCCUUUACAGCCUCUGUUACAGCCAUGUAUUCAGCUUCUGUGGUUGACAACGCAACUGUAGACUGCAGUGUAGACUUCCAACUUAUUGGUCCUCCAGCAAGAGUAAACACAUAACCAGUGGUUGAUCUUCGUUUGUCCAAAUCACCGGCAUAAUCAGAAUCAACGUACCCAACAACACAUUUACCAAGUAUAGUAUCCUGCUUGAACAAUAAUCCAAUAUCCAUGGUCUUAUGAAUAUACCGUAGAAUCCAUUUCACAGCUUGCCAAUGUCCUUUUCCAGGAUUAUGCAUAUACCUGCUCACUAUACUAACUGCCUGUGAAAUGUCGGGUCUUGUACACACCAUUGCAUACAUCAAGCUACCUACUUCAUUAGAAUACGGAACUUGUAACAUGUAUUCUUUUUCCGUAUUUGUCGAAGGAGAUAGUUGUGCAGAAAGCUUGAAAUGAGAAGCCAACGAAGUACUUACAGCUUUAGUCUGCUCGUUCAUGCCAAACUUCUGUAGUAUCUUCUUUAAAUAUUGCUUCUGAGACAAACUAACUCUGCCAUGAGCUCUAUCCCUACAUAUUUCCAUGCCAAGGAUCUUCUUAGCUUCACCUAGAUCUUUCAUCUCAAACUCAAGGUUGAGUUGAGUCUUCAAUCUCUCAAUGUCAACUUUACUCUUAAAUGCUAUCAACAUAUCAUCAACAUAUAAGAGCAAGUAUACGAAAAAUCCUUCUUGUAGCUUCUGAAAAUACACGCAAUGAUCAAAUNNNNNNNNNNNNNNNNNNNNNNNNNNNNNNNNNNNNNNNNNNNNNNNNNNNNNNNNNNNNNNNNNNNNNNNNNNNNNNNNNNNNNNNNNNNNNNNNNNNNNNNNNNNNNNNNNNNNNNNNNNNNNNNNNNNNNNNNNNNNNNNNNNNNNNNNNNNNNNNNNNNNNNNNNNNNNNNNNNNNNNNNNNNNNNNNNNNNNNNNNNNNNNNNNNNNNNNNNNNNNNNNNNNNNNNNNNNNNNNNNNNNNNNNNNNNNNNNNNNNNNNNNNNNNNNNNNNNNNNNNNNNNNNNNNNNNNNNNNNNNNNNNNNNNNNNNNNNNNNNNNNNNNNNNNNNNNNNNNNNNNNNNNNNNNNNNNNNNNNNNNNNNNNNNNNNNNNNNNNNNNNNNNNNNNNNNNNNNNNNNNNNNNNNNNNNNNNNNNNNNNNNNNNNNNNNNNNNNNNNNNNNNNNNNNNNNNNNNNNNNNNNNNNNNNNNNNNNNNNNNNNNNNNNNNNNNNNNNNNNNNNNNNNNNNNNNNNNNNNNNNNNNNNNNNNNNNNNNNNNNNNNNNNNNNNNNNNNNNNNNNNNNNNNNNNNNNNNNNNNNNNNNNNNNNNNNNNNNNNNNNNNNNNNNNNNNNNNNNNNNNNNNNNGAAUCAUGUUGCUGUAAAAGUUCUUGGGUCGAAACUUCUUCAUCAUUUGUUCCUUCAAUAUUAGCUGGAUCAUCAUUAACCUUUUCAAGCUCCACCUGUUGCAAAGUGCCAUUGGUUGUGUAUCCUUUUGUGAAUCAUUGUUCUUCAUCAUGGUUGAUUCAUCAAAAGUCACAUCUCUACUGAAAAUUAUUUUCCUUGUAUCAGGACACCAGAGACGGUAUCCUUUUACUCCACCAGUUAUACCCAUGAAUAAUGCUUUCUUUGCUCUUGGGUCUAACUUAGAUUCUUUUACAUGAUAAUAUGCAGUGGAACCAAAAUCAUGUAAAGAAUCAUAAUCAGUAGCAGGUUUACCAGCCCACCUCUCCAUAGGAGUUUUUCCAUUUAUUGCAGCUGAUGGCAACCGAUUAAUUAGAUGGCACGCAUAUGUAACUGCCUCAGCCCAAAAUUAUUUGCCCAAUCCAGCAUUGGACAACAUACAUCGAACUUUCUUCAGUAUAGUCCGAUUCAUACGUUCUGCCACCCCAUUCUGUUGUGGUGUAUCUCGAACAGUGAAGUGUCGUACAAUACCUUCAUCGUGACAUACAGAUCAUUCUUGUACUCAAUACCAUUGUCUGAUCGAAGUCGUUUGACUUUUCGACCAGUCUGGGUCUCCACCAUCUUCUUCCAUUUCAGAAAUACAUCCAAAACUUUAUUUUUCCUUUUCAUUAGAUACACCCAUACUUUUCUUGAAUAAUCAUCAACAAAAGUAACAAAAUAGUGCAUACCUCCCAAAGAAGCCACUUUAGUAGGUCCCCACACNNNNNNNNNNNNNNNNNNNNNNNNNNNNNNNNNNNNNNNNNNNNNNNNNNNNNNNNNNNNNNNNNNNNNNNNNNNNNNNNNNNNNNNNNNNNNNNNNNNNNNNNNNNNNNNNNNNNNNNNNNNNNNNNNNNNNNNNNNNNNNNNNNNUUGCAAAGCUUUUUCACCAGCAUGUCCCAAUCGCAUAUGCCAUAACCUGGUAGCCUCUGAAUCUGCAUCUUUCGUAGAAGCUGUUGAUGUUGAUCCAAUAACUAUACUUCCAUUUAAAUAAUACAGAUUAUUCCUUCUUGUGCCUUUCAUCACCGUCAAUACCCCAGCUACUACCUUUAGUAAUCCAUCUCUCAAAGUGAUUGUGAGCCCUUUAGAUUCUAGGACCCCUAAUGAGAUAAGAUUUUUCUUCAAGCUAGGUAUGUAGCGAACAUCUGUCAAGACUUGAAUUGAGCCGUCGUGAUUCUUCAAUUGGAUUGUACCUACUCCCAUUGUCUUACAAGCGCUAUCAUUGCCCAUAAAAACAACUCCACCUUCUAGUUCUUUAAGACUAGAAAACCAGUCCUUAUUAGGACACAUAUGGUAUGUACAUCCCGAAUCCAAAAUCCACUCAUCUGUAUGACAUGCCAUUGCCAUGCCAACCAAGCUAAAGUCUGACUCCUCAUCAUGCUCUGCUACACAUGCAUCAGAAAUAGCUUUACCCUUUUGUAACUUAGGACAAUUCUUUUUCCAAUGCCCUUUCUCACGACAAAAAGCACAUUCAUCUUUGGCAGGUCUCCCUUUGGACUUACUCCUUCUACCAGAUUUGUUGCUGCGCGAACGACCUCUUACUGUUAAGACUUCUGUAGUUGUAUCUCUGUGAUCUUUUUUAUCUUUCUUUCGAGUCUCAGAUCUAUACAACGCACUACAGACUGCAUCAAAUGUGAUUGUAUCCUUCCCAUGAAGCAAUGUGGUGGUAAGAUGAUCAUAUUCAUCAGGAAGAGAAUUCAACAACAGUAAUGCCUUGUCUUCAUCUUCAAAUUUCUCAUCCAAAUUUAGCAAGUCUGCUAAAAUUUUAUUGAAUGAGUUCACAUGGUCAUUCAUCGGCAUACCGGGUGCAUACGUGAAUCGAUAAAGUUUUUUUUCAUAUAAAGCCUAUUUUCAAGACUUUUUGUUAGAAACUUUUCUUCCAGUGUAUCCCACAACUUCUUCGCUGAUGUCUCCCUCAUGACAGAGUACUUCUGCUAUUUGGCCAAACAUAGGCGAAUUUUUCCACAUGCCUGUCUAUUGAUCUUGGCCCACUCCUUGUCAUCCAUCUUCUCAGGUUUUUCUUCAAGGGCUAUAUCCAGCUCUUGCUGACAUAAGACAUCCAGGAUCUCACAUUGCCACAUAUCAAAAUUAUUGGUACCAUCAAAUUUCUCUACUUCAAAUUUCGCAUUGGUCACAGUAGUCUUUAUUGAUGACGAUGCCUUUUCCAUUUUUUCUCCUCAAUCCCAACUACAGUACGUGAACAGUACUGUGAACGAUCGUAUUCCCCAAGUACGAAUGUAGCUCUGAUACCAAUUGUUGUGCGGAAGCGUGUAAAAGAGUAAAAUUAUUGUACUAAAAAAUCACACUAAGUUCAAUUCCCAGGAAAAAGAGGUGGAUCACAAGGAUCGCUUAAGUACCAGGUCUUUCCUAGCCAGAAUAUCCCUCAAUCAUAAUUUAAUAGCACAAUAAAUCACUACAAUCACACACACAAUUCAUGCAGAAUAAUACAAUAAAGAACACAAGAAUUUAACGAGGUUCAGCAAAUUUUGCCUACGUCCUCAGGCACUACCAAAUAUAUUUCACUCCAAAAUACAAGUGAGAAUUUACAAAGAGAGAGAGAAAACAAUGCCUUAAGUAGAGAAUGGCAAGUUUGAGAUACAGAAUGAGAGAUGGUCAUGAUUAUUUAUAGUUGAGGUUCAGGGAUCAACUUGCAAAGUCACUUUACAAUUAGGGACCAUAUAUUGCAAAUAUCUCAGAUUUUAUUAUGCCAAUAUCUCGAUAUCCAUAUCUUUGACUUUCUAAUAUUUGAUACCCAUAUCUUUGACUUUCCAAUAUUUGAUACCCAUAUCUUUGACUUUCUAUUAUUUGAUACCCAUAUCUUUGAUUUUCCAUAAAUAUGGAUAAUUCCCAAUAGUUAGAUAUAGGGUUGUCAGCUAAUUAGGAAAGACUGUGAUGAUAGUCACACCUUACAUCCAAACGCAAAGCUUUUUACAUGUGUAUGUAAGGUUGCUAAGCAAAUCUGAUGAGCCUUCACUGAUGUUUUAAGGUUAAGUUAAUGUUCCUUUUCUGCAAAGAACAUUAUCGAGAUCACAGUAUUUUGAUCGCCUUUUGCUUGUUAUGUUAUUCGUUCUGAAACGAUUGUCUAAUCUUUACCGCGAUUGCAGGAUAUAGAGUAAUUUUUGAAUUUCAUCGGUGUAAAGAGUUUAGGACCUCGACAAGUUCUUGCAAAUUUGAAGGAGCUUCUAAGGUCUGUCCAGUCUUCAGAAUAUAUAGAUACCUGAAUUAAUUUUGAUUUUGUAGGAUCAACUAUAAUUUUGACCUUCUUCACACACGGCACGUGCGGAUUUUUUACCAAUCCCAUUUCAUUAAAGAAAAAAAAGAGCUUUAAAAAAGGAUCACACUUUUUUGUUGUUUACAGAAUCAUAAUGUUAAUUAGAGUGGAAUAUUUCAAAUUUCUGAUGAUGAGAAUAUUCUUGAGUAUUGCAGUAAAAAAUUGGGUGUGGAACUUAUUUGAAACUUUGAAUGUAUGUUUUGUUGGUGAGAAUAUAAAGUUGAUAAAGAUUUGGUAAAAAGAAUAAAAUACUAUUUUUUAUUACAAAAUUAUUUGAUACCCUGCCAAUCGAGUUAUAAUUAUCAUGACACAAUAUUAAAGGUAAUUAAAACAUGUCAUAUUACAAAUAAUAAAAUUAUAACGACUCAAAUAUACGAACAUGCCAAAAUUUAUGUACAACGAAUUAUUAACAUGUAAAUGUAUAAUACGGUACAAAAAAUAAGAUAAUUUCUUUUUUUUGUAAUUGAAUUGUUAUAACACAUUAUACAAAAUACAUUGUGAAUUAAAGCAUAAUAUGAACAUGAUAUCAAUAUAUCAAAUUUUUUAAAAAUUCGAUCAUACGAAUAAUUAUGUAAAAUAUAACAUGAUACAAAAUGACUUGAGAGGAAAAGAGGAAUGUAGACUUGCAUUGUUUGUGAGGUUUUAAAAUAUUCCAGUUUUAGAUUCAAUUUUCUAGUAUUUUUGGUUUAAUUUUACAUUAGAUUUUCUUUUCAGUAUGCACUAGUAAACGCUUGGUAGUCACUUUAAUUUAAUUUAAAGAGAUAUUGCAUAUACAUAAUAAAUUUCAUAGAAGAAAAAAGAAAUAGAUGGUUGAAAAUGAUAAAAUCGUAAGAUAAAAGAGCUUUUAUUCAAAAUGCAAAAAUGAACAAAAUAUUCAUUAUCGCUCAACUUAGCAUAAUUAAACAUUUAGGUGUGGAAAUCAAAUCACAAUUUGAGUAGCUAAACAUAUCGCUUGAAAAUGUGAUAAGUAAGAAACUUGCCCACAUUUGAGUAGCGACAGGUGGUGAUGCAUUUCCCAACGAGAGAAAACCAAGCUCUUCGCCAGUAUGGAUUUAUGUAGAGGACAACAAAAAUUGUCAACAAAGCAACUACAAAAGAAACCAAAAAGCUCACACAAAAAUCAUAAGUACCUAUCAAACCAUCUUCUCCUUUAUCUUCUGAUACAGCUGAUAUCGUUGAUGGCGAAUCGGUUUUGGAACAACUUUUAUGCAAUAUAGCUCCACAAAGAAAAGGAUUUCCCUCAUAACUGUUUUCAAUAAAGGUCCCAAAUUGAGCUUUUUCAGGAAUACUACCUGACAAGUUGUUGUAUGCCACGCUGAAAACCUCCAAAGAGUUCAACUCUACCAACUGAUUGGGGAUUUCACCACUCAAAUUGUUGUAAGAAAGGUCCAAACUCUCAAUUUGAUGAAGUUUUGCGAAUGAUGAGGGUAUAACUCCUGUCAACUUAUUGUGCGACAAGUUUAAAGAAUAGAUUUCACUUAAGUUCCCUAAUUCUGGUGGGAUAUGACCAGUUAAGUUGUUGCAAGAUAAAUCAA
rnacentral:lncRNA from 1 species